UAUCGUUUAGUCAUUCAAAUAUAUCUCAUAUAUAUCAACAGUGUAGAUACCAAGUAACAUAUAUUAUAAAGAUCAACAGUCCAUUUAUUCCAUAAAUUUGGAUGACUAAAUAAUGUUCGAUUAAAUGAACUUUUGUAAGGAUUGAUAAUCUUUAAAUUAAUAUUUAGAAAUUGAAUGGCCUCGAUUAUGAAACUUGUAGGAUGAAGAUACACAAUUGGGGAAAUGAGCUCAAUUCCCAGGAGAGGAAUGCAAAUAUUAUUCUUUCUAGUGACUAUAGUCAAUUCUAAUAAGAUGUGAUACGUUGAUUUGCAUUUACGGAGUACAAUACAUGAAACUAAUUUAAUCAGUAAGAUGAUACAAAUAAUUGUACAUAUUUACCCAAAAUUAAUACCAUUAGUAUCCUGGCUAAUUGUAUUAGGAUUUACACACAAAUUCAUUUUCGUGGAAAUUAUGCGGUUAAUUAAGUCUAAUCUUUUUGCUAGCAAGGUCUAAUCUUUUUAGACAAAACAAUGGUACAAAUUACAAUAUCCUACGAAAAUUAAGAUCAAAUCUUUAUAUGGGAAAAAGAGAUUACUUACAGAGCUAGAGCUUGAGCUGGCGGAGCGAUGAAGCAUGCCAGUGACACCAUGGUGCUCUUUCCUGCCGUAAUCGUGACCAAGUGUGCCGUGACCACCUGCCGUGGUGGCAGCAUAGCCAGUGGUCACAACGGCCGUGUGAUGAGCACCGUAUUCUCCGGUGGCAGCAGGAGCGAUGCCAGUAGUAGCACCGUGAUGACCAAGUGGGUUUCCAUACUUGUCCACUUGGGGAACCAAGGGGUUGCUGUUCUCGUCAGUUCCCUGAGUCGGGUUGCCGCAGGCGGCGGUGGGUGGUGCCCCGUAUUGAUGAUUUUGUAAAUGCGCCAUUCUCUAAAAACACAAUGAAACCUUUUCUUCUUCUUGGAAAUUUUUUAAUAUGCUUCGAUGAGGAUUUGAUUUUGAUGAAGUCUGACAAUUUGGGUCGGUUUAUAUAAGCAAAAUAACAAAACAUGCAUGUCACAGUAGGGUUCUUGCCGUUUGCCAAACUUUAAUAAUUUGUAAAACUAUCCCCACUCUCUCUCUGUAUACAUGUCGUAUACGGUAUACCUCACAUUGCCACAAAAGCAACUCCCGACAGCAAAAAUAGUGUUAGACAUGUCGUAUAGCUCACAUUACCAAUACCUUGAAAGCAACUGCCGACAUCAAAAAAUAAUAGAACUUGGAUUGUUCAUGCUACUAGCUUCCAUCGCUAGGACAUGUACUUGGAAGCAAGCUAUACAGCCACCUUGAAUCAAUGAAUGAACCUUGAAUCAACGAAUGAAUGAAAAGAAAUGGAAUUGAAAGCAAGCUACAGCUACCUCAAAUCAAUCAAUGAACGAAUGAAAAGAAAAGAAACCGCCUGCUUAUCUUGUGUGACAAGACCAUAGAGCGAGUGGCUCUUCUAUGUGUGAAAUUAUCUUGUGUGACAAGACCAUAGAGCGAGUGACCAUUCUAGGUGGGCAGCUGUGUGAGAGAGAGGAAUUCGAACUUGAUAUUGAUAUCAGCGGAGGCGUUUGCAAGUGGCAAACUAAAUAACAUGUUCAUGUUCUUAUUGCUACUCAUUUUAACAUAAUAGACAACAAAGUUUUGUAAGCAGUAUAUCAAUAAAUAAACUACUGCAACACAUCAUACCAACACUACCCUAGGAUUACCAACUAAUAUCAGAUUCACCAUAACUAGAGAAACACCAGUUUAUAAUCUACAAGACACUUACCUGGAGGCAUCGCCAUUGAAGAAACAACAGAAGAAGAAGUCUUCUACUUCCAACACUCGAAAGUCUCUUCUCUAAGUGAAUAGGGUUUUAGAUAAUAUUGAGAGCGUUAGUAAGGAAGCAGGGACUUCAACUAUAUAUAUAUCCAUCCAUUUUGCUACAGAUUCACUCGGUCCAACCUAUUAUCAGAAAGAGUGAUAAUCUCUAUCUCUUAAUAAGUUUUAGUCCUAUCAUGACUCUAUAUACUAGUAUAUAUUUGAUAAGGAUCAAAAUAGAACAGCUGCAACAUACAAAACUCCACGAUUCUUGUCAUACCAAAGCUCUCAGACUCCUUGUGUUUCACAUAACUAGUAUGACUAGUUAAACGCCACCCAAGUAGUCCAGUUGUAAUCUCAUUGUCAUUCAAACAAGUUUUACAUUCUCCCACUUGAAUGUCAAUGAUAUGCCUCAAUAUUAUAAGAAUCAUGAUGAUCAUACAGUUCACAAAAGCUUGCAACUGAUCCUUCAUAGUAACUUGUCAUCUUUAAGAAAAAUAUAGGACCACAAAAAACAAAGCACGAAUAGCUUGCACUUUGCACUCUGUGAUCACAUACAUAUUUAGCUUAAAAACACUAUGUCACUUUUGAGAGUCAUGACGUCAAGAACUGACAAUUCUCAGUUCCACAUAACAAAAUGAAAUAAUUCCAGUACCAAAGUUGUUUGUAGAAACAUAAUAAGCCAAUUUAAACAAAUCAAUAACGAUAACAAAUUUGCAAGAUAACUAACAAUCGUCAAUCAGUAAACAAAAUAAUUGAAACAAACCCAACACGGUUUAUGGAGUGCUUACUCCCACUCAUUAACUGAAUCAAGGACCUCUCUUACUCCCAUGUUGAAAACAUGUUUCUUGAAAACUCCCACUGGUAAAGCCUUUGUCAUUGGAUCAGCAACCAUUAAACUUGUGUUGAUGUACUCAAUUUCGACAGUUUCUUUCUUCACUUCAUCUCGUACUUUUAAGUACUUGAUGUCCAUCAAUCUGCUGGCAUAAGACCUCUUGUUAUUCUUCGAAAAGAAAACUGCAGCUUUGUUGUCACAAUACAACUUGAGAGACCUUUCAACACUGUCAACGAUUUCCAAUCCUUUCAUCAUGUUUUUAAGCCAAAUGGCUUGUUGAGUUGCUGCAUAGCACCCUAUAAAUUCAGCUUCCAUAGUUGAAGAUGCAAUACCUUUCUGUUUUGCACUCUUCCACGAUACUGCACCAUUAGCCAACAGAAAGAUAUAUGCAUUAGUUGACUUUCUGUCGUCCACGCACCCUGCCAAGUCCGAAUCCGUGAACCCUACCAAUUCCAGCUUGUCCACAUGACUAUAAGUUAACAUAAAAUCUCUUGUUCUUUUGAGACACCUCAGUACCUUUUUCGCUGCAACCCAAUGACAUACACCAGGAUUUGAUUGAAACCUACCAAGCACACUCAGUGCAAAAGCCAAAUCUGGUCUUGUGCAUACCUGAGCAUACAUGAGACCCCCUACAAGAGAUGCAUAGGGCUUGUCUUUCAUUCCCUCAUUCUCUAAUUCAUUUUUGGGACAUUAAACACUACUCAGUUUGUCUCUUUUGCCGAUAGGCAAUUCUCCAUUCGAACAUUUGUCCAUAUUGAAUCUUUUAGCAUCUCUAUCGAUGUACUACCUUUGAGAAAGACCAAGAGACUUCGUAACACGAUCUCUUACAAUUUAUAUUCCCAAAACAAAUCGAGCUUCCCCCAAGUCCUUCAUGUUAAAGUUUUGAGUGAGCAUACUCUUAGUUAACUGUAGUAGAGACAUAUCAGAGCUAGCUAAUAAUAUAUCGUCUACAUACAAUACUAAGAAUAUGACCUUCGCACCAAGGACUUUCAGAUAAAUACACUCAUCCAUUUUGUUCUCUUGGAAACCAGAAGCUGCCAUUACCUGAUCAAAUUUCUUAUUCCAUUGCCUCGAGGCUUGUUUUAAGCCGUAUAUAGACUUAUUCAGUUUACAAACCAUCGUCUCAUUCCCCCUUUCAACAAAUCCAGGUGCUUGUUGCAUGUAAAUAUCUUCUUCAAGAUCUCCAUUUAGAAAUGCCGUCUUGACGUCCAUUUGAUGAAGUUAUAAAUCAAAAUGUGCUGUGAGAGCUAGAAUUAUUCUCAUGGAAUCUUUUGUUGAGACUGGAGAAAAUGUCUCAUUAUAGUCAAUGUCUUCCCUUUGUGUAAAGCCCUUCGCCACUAACCUUGCUUUGUGUUUGUCAAUGUUGCCUUAUGAGUCUCGUUUUGUCUUGAACACCCAUUUACAACCAAUAAUUUUUGUUGUCCCAAUUGGCUUUGGAACUAAGCUCCACACACUGUUUUUCUCCAUGGACUCCAGUUCUUCAUGCAUGGCUUGUUUCCAUAAUGUUGAUCUUGAACUUGUUAUGGCUUGAUUGUAGGACAAGGGAUCAUCUUCAUCACCUAUAGUAUGUUCUGCCUCAUUUAGUUAUGUUUAUACCAUAUUUAGGGCCUCGUAUUUAGAUCUCGUACAAAUACUCGGAGGACUUAAAUGUAAUUAUAUGAUAAAGGAAUGGGCAAAUAUGUAAUAAAAGAUGAGUCCUUAUUCUAUAAAAGGACCACUCACCCUCACAAUUAGGGGAGGCCAAUUCCUAGGCCUUCUCACCCCCUCUCAAAGCUCUCACUCUCAGAGCUCUCUCUCCCUUAGAAAUACAAUAUCAGUGUGGACGUAGCCCAAACUUUGGGGUGAACCACGAUACAUCUUGUGUUAUUUACAUUUCAUGCAGAUUCACGGUCGGAUUUACGUUGUUCCAAGACCUUCAGUUUUGUGCAUCAACAAGGUAUACAAAAUCAGGCAACAAUGUUGCCUUACGUACUCGCUGUGAUUUUCGAAUAUUUGAUUCAAAAACUGCAGUUACUGGAUCAUUCAUAAGAUCUACUUCAGUUAAUUGUACUGGUGCAUGUACUUCAUGUUCCUGGACGUCUGCAUAGGGCACAUACUCCUCAUUUGUUGUAUCAUCUGCAUAAACCGUAUGUGAAUUGUCAUGAAAAGGUUAUGGCUGCAUGUUCAUGGGAAUAAUAAGGGUAGAUGGAUGCUGAUCAAUAAUGUCACUAUCAAGUGUGAUUUCUUUGAAUUUUGAGGAUGUAGUUGCUGAUAUGCUGAUGUCAGUUUCAUCCCCAUCUUCAAGAAAUCUUGCAUUAUGGGUUUCCAUAACCCUCGAGUGACUGUUAGGGCAAUAGAAUUUAUACCCUUUAGACUUCUCAGAAUACCCAAUGAACUUGCAACUGGUGGUCCAUGGAUCGAGUUUUUUCUCUGUUGGAUUAUAGAAUCUGGCAUCGGCAUUACAACCCCAUACACGAAAGUGAUGAAAACUCGGUUUCCUUCUUGUCCAAGCUUCGAAUGGUACCAUGUCAACGGACUUGCUCGGUACACGGUUCAAUAUAUAAUUUGUAAUUUUCAGUGCUUCUUCCCAAAGAAACAUUGAAAGCUUUGAAUGUGCAAACAUGGAUCGAAUCAUGUCCUUCAGGGUUCGAUUCCUUCGUUUAGCAACUCCAUUUUGAUGAGGAGUCCCAGGGGUAGUAUACUGAGCCACAAUGCCAUUUUGUUCAAGAUAAGUUGCAAAAGGUCAUUUGUGUUGUCCAGCCUCAGUGAACUUGCCAAAAUACUCACCACCUCUAUCGGAUCUCACAAUCUUAAUGUGUUUUUCUAGUUGUUUUUCAACUUCCAAAUGAAAUGUUUUAAAACAAUGCAAGGCUUCAGAUUUUUCAAAAAUAAGAAAAACAUAUGCAAACCGUGAAAAAUCAUCAAUGAAGGUUAUGAAAUAUGAUUUUCCACAUAUGGUCUUAAUUGGAAAGGGUCCGCAAAUAUCAGUGUGUAUAAUUUCCAGUAGAGAUUGGCUACGGUUUGACCCUAUUUUCCUAGUAUUGGUGAGUUUUCCUUUAAAACAAUCAACACACUCUUUAAAGUUGCUGAAAUCAAGUUGUGGCAACAAGUCUUGUUUUGUAAGUGUGAUGAUUCUUUCUUUAGAGAUGUGCCCCAACCUUUUGUGCCAAAGCAUUGAGGUUUUUUCAUGAGUGAGCACUUGUUUGAACCAGCACUUUGAACAUUAAAACAUUCAAUCUCAUACGUACAAUUCAUUUGCCACGUAUCAACUUUAAGAUAUGCUUCACUAAGUAAUUUAUUCAUGUCAUUGGAAUGGAAAAACUUUACACUUUGACUGUCACCCACUAAUGUAAAGCCGGAUUUAACUAACUUAGAUGCAGAAAUUGAUUUCCUUCUCAUGGAAGGUACAUAGAGUACUGGACUCAAAUCUAAAAUAAAGCUAGAGGAAAGAACUAAUUUGACACUUCCUAUGGAUUCGAUAGCAACUUUGCUGCCAUUCCCUACAUAGACAUUGUAGACUUCAUUGUUUAUCACCCUUGUUUUUUAGAAGCCCUGCAAAGAAUUAGUUAUGUGAAUAGAGCAGCUUGUGUCAAACCACCAACUUUUAGGAGGAAUGUAAACUAAAUUAGACUCAACACAUACAAAAAUAUUUAUUUCGUUACCUUUCUUAACAAGCCUAUUCUUGAAGCCAUUGCAGUUCUUUCUUAAGUGACCUAUUUCUUUGCAAAAAUAACACUCUUUUUCUUUCUCAAGUUCAAUGUUAACAUGCUUUAUUUUAUGAGAUCCUUUAGAGAUGAUGUUAGUAUUUUUAAAUGAAGAAGAAAUUUCUUUCUUCUUCUUCUUACCAGCAACCACAAUUGAACUUUGAGUGAAGUCCUUUUUGCGUUUUUCACCUUGCACAAAAUUCACAUCUACUGAUUUGUCACUCUUGAGCCGAUCUUCUUCUUGUGCACACAUAAUGAUCAGUUCAUCGAUGCCCUAUUUGUCUUUUUGAGUGUUAUAAAAAACCUUGAGCUGCCCAUAUUUUGAAGGCAAGGAGUUCAAGGCCAUAUGAACUAAGAACUGGUCAAUCAUGGGUACUUCGAGAUCCUUCAACUUCUAAGCAAGAUCAACCAUCUUGAGAAUGUGUUCUCUGACACUUCCCUCACCAUCAAAUUUCAUAGAGGUAAUUUGAAUGAGAAAAGUCCCAGUUUCAGCCUUGUCAAAUUCUUUAAAUUUUUCCCCAACUGCAGCCAAGAAGUCUUUUGCAUUGUCUUGUUUUGGAACACCCCCUUUAACUGAUGGAGCCAUAGCCUUCCUUGUAAUCAUCAGGGACAUUCGGUUUGUUCUCUCCCACUUUUCAAACUUUGCCUUAUGAUCUGCAGUGCUCUCUGUAGUAAUAGCUGCAGGUUUUUCCUCCCUUAAUGCCAAAUCGAGAUCCAUAAGGCCAAGAACCAUUUCAACAUCCUCCUUCCACUUCUUGUAGUUAGAACCGAUCAGAGUCUCAAUAUUGUUGAAAUUGAGAGAUGUCAUAUGAGGAGCUACAAAACCAAAUAUUAAUUUUUAUAGUUCUUAGUCAUUAUGUAUCAACAAACAGAAGAAAAGAUUACGCCUAAUCUUUUCCCAACAUAUAAUCAUAUAAACAUAGUAUCAUCUUUGGACAGAAACUAUUUAUACUAGAUUUGCAUAGCCAAAAUAUUGAAAACGAGGGCAGUUUACAUAACUCCAACACUUUUAAGCAGAUGAAGAAUGCAAUCUUGUCAAUUCAAUAUUUCACUAUACAUUGAUUGAUUUAUUUAUUUAACUUGAAUAAAUAAACACUUUUGAGCAGAUUAUUAUUCACUUGAUACAAAUAAAUCACAUGUCUAAUCCUUUAGACAACAACAAAAUCAACAAACUAAACACUUUUGAACAGAUUAGGUGUUGAGAUCCUUGUUUACGAUUCAAAUUUUAUUUAUUAGUUCGGUUUUGACAAAUAAAACAUGAAUCCAAAAGUUCUUCUGGGUUGAGUGUUCCAAUAUUGCAAUUGUUCUUUGAACGAUCUUCUCUAGACAAAAAUAGCAAACACAACUGGAGGUAUACACGGCAAUAUUUGAUUAUAUAUAUAAAUAUAUUGAUCAUGCAAAUUUCUUUGUAAGUAUGCAACGGAAGCAUUUAAUGACAUAGGAUCAAAAUAUAUAGAUCAAUCAAAUCGAAAGUUAACCAUAUAUUAAAUAAAGAACCCUAGUCAUGUUAGGUUGGCUCUGAUACCACAUGUAAGCAGUAUAUCAAUAAAUAAACUACUGCAACACAUCAUACCAACACUACCCUAGGAUUACCAACUAAUAUCAGAUUCACCAUAACUAGAGAAACACCAGUUUAUAAUCUGCAAGACACUUACCUGGAGGCAUCGCCAUUGAAGAAACAACAGAAGAAGAAGUCUUCUACUUCCAACACUUGAAAGUCUCUUCUCUAAGUGAAUAGGGUUUUAGAUAAUAUUGAGAGCGUUAGUGAGGAAGCAGGGACUUCAACUAUAUAUAUCCAUCCAUUUUGCUAGAGAUUCACUCGGUCCAGCCUAUUAUCAGAAAGAGUGAUAAUCUCUAUCUCUUAAUAAGUUUUAGUCCUAUCAUGACUCUAUAUACUAGUAUAUAUUUGAUAAGGAUCAAAAUAGAACAGCUGCAACAUACAAAACUCCACGAUUCUUGUCAUACCAAAGCUCUCAGACUCCUUGUGUUUCGCAUAACUAGUAUGACUAGUUAAACGCCACCCAAGUAGUCCAGUUGUAAUCUCAUUGUCAUUCAAACAAGUUUUACAAGUUUCACAUCACAAAGAUAGACAUUGCAUAGUGCUCUCUGUGCAUUAGCCACACAAACAACUCAGCUCACACCAGAGGCACCAGUAGCUUAUUAUAUGGCCGAUAUAAUUGUAACAAACCACUGCAUUUAUAUCUUGUGGUGUCCGCCACGAAGCUUCUCUAUGAUCUUGUCCAUGAUCCCUUUCUUUUCGUGGUUCUCCUCCGUGUAAGCGGUGCCGCCGCCGGAUGGUGUGGUGGUCGACGUAGUAGUAUGUGAGUAGUGGGGGUUAUCCUUGUGGCCAGUACUCGGCAGCUUGUCCUCGAUCUUGUCCGUCAUCCCUUUUUCCUGGUGGUGCCCUCCUGGGUCGGUGGUGCCGUAUGUUGUGUCAGUUGUAGUUGAGCCUGUGAGCUUUUCAUUUAUCUUCUGUUGCAGCUAGCUUCUAUCGCUAGCACAUGUACUUGGUGUUGGAUAAAUAUCAACAAUCAACGAUAAAUUUAUAUAUGUUAAUAAAUAAUAAAUACAAAUAAAUAAUUUACCAGAGUAUAAACAUAACGAAAUAAUAUUAGACAGACAAAUUGAAAAUCAAAGCUUGCGUACCGUAAUGUCCUUGAAAUAUAAAUUUCAUCCCUAUUCAGUGCUUGUAGUUCUACAAACGUCUGCUUCACCAAUAUUCAAUUGACACACCCCGACCUAAAUCAGGGCGUGUUGGCCGUCACGUAGAAGUGAAGUAACCAUGUGCAUAGUGCGGAAACAAUAAAGAUAUAAGAGAAAUAUGAAUGAAUAAAAACCAAACUACUAGCCUUACUAGUUAAGAUAAGGUGCUAGAACGAGAUUAAGUGUGAAAUACACAACUAGAGCAUAAAUAGCCUAAGUGCAAUCAAGCAGGACAAGUACUAAUUUACAACACUCAAGGGUGAUCCUACAUUUAUGAUGUUCUGUUAAAACCACCGUUGAAAUCCCCGUGAGCCACCAAAGCAUUUCCACCUAAAACCUAGAUGGGCGCAAAACAGAAAGUGUGAGUAGGCAAAAACAAAGUUUUGCAAAAUCAUUUCAUUUCUCAAAAGUUCUAACCCCUCGCCCUAAAACCUGUAUAAUUUCCCAGAAAAUAAUAAUAAUAAUAAUAAUACUAAUAAUAAUAAUAAUAAUAAGCUGUAUCAGAAAUCAUACUCAAGAUGAAAAUCCAUAGAAGUAUACCAUGCCAAAGUAUCUUAAUGCAAUGCCAUAAAUAAUCCAGACAAAAUAUAUCAAUGUCAGGUAUCGCAUCAGCUGAAUCCCUCUAACUCAAACUGUAUGGUUGAGUCUAUAGCUCAUAACCAAUCUCAAUCAUAUCAUAUCAAUUCUUGCACACGAGUCGGAACCACCUAAAGUGGUCUGUACGACAAGAGUAGGUGUAAAAUAAAUAUGCUCUAGUGCUACGAUCACAUGAAGGCUGUGCGAAUAAUCGCGGGUCACUUACGAGUCGGAACCAUCUAAAGUGGUUUGUACGAAAAGCCUUUGCACCUAACUUGGAUCCUAGGUGAGCAUAUGGUGCGAGAGGUGAAUGUCACGUGAAAGACUGUACCCUAACUUUGGACGGGAGCACUAACACCAAGGUGCAUGUUUAUGAGCUCUCAAUACAUCACAUCAUAUCUCACAUAACUGAAGUAACCUCAUAUCUUUAAUUUAUGAACUUACCUAGCACUUACCUGUGCGUCUGCAGCACCAAUCAUAAAUAUAUGCAACUACUAAUGCAUAAAUAAAAUAGGCAGAUACUUUACAUGGCAUUUCAAAACGUAAAAUCAUUCAAAUUCAUUUUUUGGGAAAAAUCUCAAAGUUUAUAGGUAUAUACGGAAAACCAAAAGCACACUCAUUGAUAUGUCGAAGGGUCGUAGCCCUCGAGCCUCGAUUGAUGGCACUCGUCCUUAGGAUAGGUCUCACCUAUAUGCGAAAUAACUGAAUAAACAUUAUUUAAAGCACAUACACAAAACUAAGAAAUAACUUCUCAUACAUUGCUCAAAUGAGGUAUUUGAAUAUACCACCAUGAUUUACUCAACCUCAGGAACAUCCUCAUAUUUUUAGAAAAAUUUUCCGACCUCCCACGCCCCGCCACGCACCGGCCAAGGCAUGGCCAAACGUGCUCCCAUGCGCGGCCAAACCCUAACUGAGCCUAACGACCAUUAGGAAUAUUCCGUUAAAACCUUAACAAAAGUUAAAUGCGUUACCUGACGCCAUUAGAAUAUUCUGUCAGACUUGACAAAAUAUUCUCCUUCAUAUUCCUGGGUUCGCCGGAGAAUGUUGUCGGAGCCGCUACGAUCGCCUGAAACUGGGAAAAUAAUCAAACCUUCAUAUCUUCCUCAUUUCUCAACCAAAACUCACGAAAUUUAUACCAAAUUGAAGCUUACAACAAGAAGAACAAAACCUUACCAAUUUCACGCCUAGAAAUCCAUGGGAUUUCAUCGGAUAAACCUCGAUAAUUCGGCCAAAAUUGAAACUUGCCAAACUUAACUUCCCGACAUCCAAAACACUUUGUUUUUCUUCUCCAAGCUUUGUGAAGACGUCCUAAGGCUCACUAGCAACUUAAAAUCUCCUAAAAACUUCACAUUCACGAUCAUAUGAACAGUGCCUUAAAACUGGGAUUUCUGGUUCUCGGGAAAACAAGGUCUUCACGUCAAACUAAAGGCAUAGAUGACCACCUGGACUCACGAGGAACACAUAAACAACCUCCUCGACGUCGAUCCGUGAAGAUAGGGUAAGGUUUGGGUGUUGUCCAUACGAGUACGAAAAUGGCAGAAAAUUCGAGGGAAGGAGAGAGAGAAAGUCAACGGGAAAGGGUUUGUGUGAGUGUGUGUGGUCCAGCUGGGUCACCAAUCAAAAUAAAUAAAAGCUUAAGUUUUAAUUGGAUCCAAUUAAUUAGGAAUAGAGCUAACUGGCCUUUUUUUCUUAGCCCAAUCUACACAACACCACGAAACGCUCAAGGGUACUUUAGUCUUUUCACACCACCGAUGAAAUAAUUCAAGACGGGCUGUGAUCAAUGAUCUAAGUUAGAAUUCCAACACCGGAAAACUUGACUUCUGGCUAAUUUCUUUGUGGUUCUCUCAGUAAGAAUGUUUGGGAUUGUAGAAGAAUUUUAUGUUUCUAUGUUCUAAAUGUCAUGCAGAUUGAUGUAUAUAUAAUAGGUUUAUGCAUGUUUGCAACAGGUAUGAGAAUGGGAUGAGUUUGUUAGGAGACAUCUUCUCAAAGGGGUGCUUUGUUCUCUGGCGUUCUUUCAUCACUUCAGACUUCAUCUGAAAAGAUGAGUUUAUUGAUAUAAAAAAUAAUUAAUUAAUUAAAAAUAAGUAAUUAAAAAAUUUAAUUAUAAAGCCCAAUCUCAAACUUGAGCCCAAUUUUAUGAUCUAUGACCCAUUACUCCAUUCACUCUCUACAAGGGACAAAAUCUUAUAAAAUAAAAAUCUUUUAAUAGUGACUAAUAUGGGAUCAUAAAAUUUCUACUCAAAAUUUCUAACACUUAAAAGCAAGCUACAGCUACCUCAAAUCAAUCAAUGAAACCGCUCCCAGUAGGUGGGCGGCGUGCUCGUCUUGUGUGACAAGACCGUAGAGCGAGUGGCUCUUCUCUGUGUGAACUUAUCUUGUGUGACAAGCCCAUAGAGCGAGUGACUAUUCUAGAUGAAUUCGAACUUGAUAUUGAUAUCAGCGGAGGCGUUUGCAAGCGGGCAAACUAAAUAACAUGUUCAUGUUCUUAUUGCUAAUUUGUAGGACCUUAUUAAACCAAUAUUGCAACAGUAGUUAAACCGGAAUUACCGUUACUCGAACGAGCACUAAAUAUAUUAAUAUAAACGACAGACAAAGUUACAUAUCACAAAGACAAACGAUACUGUGUAGUGUUCGGUGCAUUAGCCGCACCAGAGCUGAGCUCGCACCAGGCUCCGCUAGCUUAUUAUAAGAUUCAACAACACUAAACCACUGUAUACAUACUGUAGGCUUUUAUUAAUACAGGAAUGGUAUAUAAUGUCUACUGGUUUCCUCCGGGAAGCUUCUCUUUGAUCUUGUCCAUGAUCCCCUUCUUUUCGUGGUGCUCCUCCGUGUAGGUGGCACCGCCGUAGGGAGUUGUGGUCGUACUAGCAUGUGUUGUGGUUGAGUAGUGGGGGUCAUCCUUGUGGCCAGUACCCGGCAGCUUGUCCUUGAUCUUGUCCAUCAUCCCCUUUUCCUGUUGGUGCCCUCCUGGGUAGGUGGUGCCAGCGGUGCCGUAAGUUGUCUCAGUCGUGGUUGAUCCCGGGAGCUUCUCCUUUAUCUUCUGUUUCAACCCCUUCUUCUUCCUCCUCCCACCUAGCCCAUCAUCCUCCGACUACACCAAAAUAAAUACACGCCGACAUAUGAAUUUCUUUUUCAGAGGGAAUUACAAGUUAAUUAACAAUAUUAAUAUUAUAUAAUUAGUGUAUAAAAGAAAUUGAUGAUCAAAUCCUGCCAAUAAGAGUUGGAUCUUGCAUAAAAAUUGUAUCUACGCGAUUGUAUACAAGUUAAAAAUUUCCGAGGGAAUAACUUCUGUUUUAAAUGAAAUCUAUCUUGUUGUAUUAAUUAAAAAUUAGUAAACAUGCUACAGUACAAACAUUCUCAUGAAUAUAUAUUCAACCCUAAAUGUUGCAAAUCAAUCCACAUUUGCAAGGUGUACAUAGAGCAGAGAAAUGUUUUAGUUAAUCGAAACACGCCUAAUACACCUGGUCUAAUAAUGCUACCAUUAAAAUUUUUGCCUAUUGACCAGGUGACAUGAUACAAAUAACAAUAGGGGACCGCCUACAUAUAGAGAAAUUUUUAUUGUAUCAGAACACGCCUAAUUCACCAGGUCUAAUACUAUCGAUUAAAUAUUUUACUAGUUUCUAAUAAUACAAUUAUAUUGGGGUACUGGACCUUGCUACAGGCGCAUUGAAAAUUUUCUACGUGCUUAUAUUAGGAUUGAACAUAAAUUCAUGCGUGUGUGCCUAAUUAAGCCUAACCUUUUUGGCUAACUUGGUCAAUAGACAAAAUCAUGGUACGCGCUAUUAAGUGAAUCCUACGUAAAUUAACAUCACAUUUUCAUAUGAGAAAAAAAUAAGAAAUCACUUACAGAGCUAGAGCUUGAGCUGCCAGAGCGGUGGAGCGCGCCAGUGACACCAUGGUGCUCUUUCCUGCCGUAAUCGUGACCAGUGGUCGCAGCGGCUGUGUCAUGAGCACCGUAUCCUCCGGUGGUGGCACCUGUAGUAGCACCGCCAAGUGGGUUCCCGUACUCGUCGGUUCUCUGGAUCGGGUUGCCGUAGGCGUCGGUUGGCUGUGCCCCGUGUUGAUUAUGCAGAUGCGACAUUUUUCAAAUAACACAAUUUGAGUAUGGAAGUCUGGAUAAUUUUGUUUGGGAUUUGAUGGGAUUGGAGGGAAAAUAUGGCGGGAUUAUAUAGGGAACCAACAAAACACGCGUGUCACAGUAGGGUUUCUUACUUCUUACACCUACGUGAAUAGUGACCUUCGAUCCUGAUGACACGUUGGCUACUGGGACACCUGGCGACGUGAAAGAGGAACAAGUGUAUCCUGCUGUCGGCAUAGAAUAAUCAGAUAGAUAAGAUUAGAUAAGGGAGUCAGUCCUUAUCAUGGAGUUAAAAAGCUCGUGACACUCCACCGCGUCUGUGACUUUACGUGGUUGAUAGAUAACGACCUCUUGGAUAUGUUCAAGAUUGGAACUUGGAAAGCAUGGCAUGGUUACGUUUUUUACACAUGCAUGGCCGUGUAAUUAUCUUGAUUUUUCUUUUUUAUAGACGUGGGGAAUUUGGAUACGGAUGAAGGGUGACUACGUACACUUGCUUUGUAAUUAUCUUGAUUUAGAUUUUUUUAAUAAUUUAGAAUUUUUUUAUAAGAACUUUCAUGAAAAAAACUUGGACUAAAUUUAUUUUAAUAAAAACUCAUGUUAUAAUUUUAUCUAAUGAAAAAGACUUAAACUUUAAUGAAAAGACAUAAUUUUAAUAUUUUAAAAAUAAAAAAAACUGACACGCGGACUUACGCGCCCCUUACACAAACUAUUUAUGAAACUUAUUACAUUAUUUUGAAACUUAAUUGUACUACACUGUUUAUAAAAUUUAACGGUACGACACUGUUUAUGAAACUUAUUACACUAUGUAUGAAACUUUUAUGAAACUUAACGGUACAACACUAUUUAUGAAACUUUGUACACUGUUUAUGAAACUGUUGACCCUAAAAACUACCAAGCCUACGUUGUGUGCAGGCCGAGUAAUUAAUAAGCUAACUACGUCAUUCGGUUGUGUGCGGGGUGUGCCAACUUGUUGGCCGAGCUCGGUCAAGGAGUAAAAUUUGUUGAUGUUGCGUUGAUGCGCUACUGACUUCUCGAUCUUGCAAUUGCGGUUGAGGAAGGAACACUCUCGGCCUUCGGGUUCUAAAGCCUAAAGACAAGGCUGCUAAUUCUAUGAAGUUCAAUAUCAAAUUCGGCUCCCAGGGUGCCGAAUGUAGUAACCUGGUAACACCUCACUUUGCCGAGAAGGCUGAUGAGAUGACAUCUGCCAAUAAGGAUUCGAAAAUCCUUCUCGACCAAGACUUGGAUAGAUAACCAAUCGGUCUCGUCGCAGUGCUGUUUAUCCAAACUUAAGGUACUUCGCGAUCGGCUAAUUCUACGGCAACAAUGCUAUUUAUCCAAACUGAAGAUGUUCGCCGAUUGCCUUCACAGUGCUGUUUAUCCAAACUAAAGAUGUGCUGGUGAAAAAGAAAAUAAAAAUCUCAAGGUUGUUGACAGGUUUCUCGUAAAGCGAAAGUUUGCGUAGGGUAGUUUGUGUGUUGAGUUGGAGGGGCUUUUUAGCCGCUUGAUAUUUAUAGAUAUCUGCAGGCCCAAGUCACGAAAACCAAUCCUAAUUGCACUGUGACUCUAAGUCUUUAUUGGUUGCUAACCCCACGUCUUAUCAAAACUUGUUGUCAUCUUGUAACCCGAUGCAAUCUUGUUUUUAACUAAUAACCUUUAUCCAUUAUCAUCAUAACCUUUAUCCAUCAUCAUAACCUUCUGUUGAAGACCACAUGCAUGCAUGAUGACUAAUUCACCAACUUAAACUCUAAAAAGUAAUUUUAACUGAUGAAAUAUAAUCACCAUAUCCCUUAGAUACAGCCACGUGCACCAAUCACAUCCAUGAAUUCCAAGUCAACUUGAAUUGUACCACCCACUUCUAUAUCAGAAAUAGAACUUUGGUUUUAAUAAUAAUCAAUCACAUAGGAGAUUGCAUGCACCUGGGGCCUGAUAAGAUGAGCCUAUUCAAAUGUCCUCGCGCGCUCCUCUGAAGACGGAUCAGAUCAUCUUUUUCCAAAACAACUAACUGGAUAUAUCAAAUAUUAGGUUUAAAUAUCCUAGUUAUUAUUAAGAGAUAAUAUUAUAAUUAAAAUCACAAUAUCAUUUCUCAAUAAUAACUAAAAAUUAUUUCAACCACUUUAUCAUCCAACGGUCUAAAACCCUUCUCAUUCAACGACCUCGAUUACUCAGGCCGAUAAUGUAAAAACGGGUCCAAACAGAAACUUAACGAUACUACAUUGUUUAUGAAACUUAACAGUAGAUACUCGUCCUAGAUUUUCAAGUUCUUUCACUAGAAUGCAAUAAAAAGUUUUUUUUUUUUUUUUUUUAACAUGAUAGAGAUCAAUGUCCACACUUUUAAAGUCAUGCAUGGCUAAAAAAAACAUGAUAAAGAUCAAUGUUAACGCCCACACCUGACCAACUCCCUCCUAACCAUACAGCCGCAAAUGUGGUUUUGAAUCGAACGAAACCCACUUCAAUUUGAAAUUUUAAUUUUAGAGGAAUAAAAUAUGCUUGGAUUAUGUCAAAGGGUUAUGCAACUGAAGGAUUGGUUGGGUGCUCUUUGCACACGCUUUUAGUUAGGUUUUUUUUUUUCAUCCUCUUGUCCUUAUCAUUAAAUAAAGUUAUAGCAUAGUUUUUUUUUGUUAAAACUCAAAGUUUUGAAGCCAUUUUCAUUAGCUUUUUUUUUAUUGAUUUCUUUAUAUCUUUAAUUAAUCACGACAACAUAUAGAUUUCGUUUAGAAGUACUUUUAUAAUGACUAAAAUCGCUUCUAAUGGCAUGGAUUGUGGGUUUUAAAAACAUUUUAAGUGCUUUUUGAAAGAAGCUUAAGAUAUAUGCUUCUUGCAUGAAGCAUAAGAUAUAUGCUUCUUACAGGAAGCACAUAAAGUUUUUAUUUUAUUUUAUUUUUUUAAAUCCACUUGAAUUAUUAAAAAUUGGUUAAAAACAUUUAGACUGAAAAUGUUUUUUCAGUCAUUUUAAAUAUACUUCUAAGUGAGCUAAUAUAUAGAAGUUACAACUUUUCGCAAAGUUUUUUUUUUUGGUAAAUGUGUAAGAUUUAUUACUGAACCACACUAAAAUUUACAACAGGUGAGGUCCCAUUACAAGAAAAGCCAAAAAGAAAAUAUGGAUCCCCAAAACAAACCCAAACCAAAAGUUUGAGCCCAGAAAGAGCAAAAUAAACAGAAAACCCUAUUUUCCUUGUAACCGCCGAGAAUGUAUCACCGCAGAACGUUCAUCCAAUAGAUGCCAAAAAUCCAGCCAAACAAUUCCACAAAAAUGAUAGACAGACGACCCCACCAACCUUCACAAAGCACCAUAGAUGACAGAUUUGUAGCAAAACACAUGAAGCUAGUGAGAGAACUCAUUAGCAACAUAGUCACCAAAGGCAACAAAGUCGUCGAAGACAAAUCCAUGGGAGGUGGUGGUGUAAACACCCGAGCUAGAGCAAAACACACUUUUCUGAUCCAUGAGAGGUGGUGGUAAGAUCACCUGCAUUGAAGCUCUAUGCACAUCCUGAAAAAAUCGCGACAAAACACGAUUAAGAAAAGUAGCUACAAAUCAGAAAUCAAAUGGGUUUGAGGAAAGUCUAGGAGGUGGAGGAUGGGAAAGAUGGUGAAAAGAAAUUGGAAUUGAUGGUAUAGGAUUUGUAAAAUUAAAGCACAUAUUGGUGACGAACCAGUGAUUAUGCGAAGAGUUUGAGUCUAUUGUUGUAAGGCAUGACAAUAAAUGCUCAUGAAAUGUCAUCACAAGCACAAAUGCCAUCAUAAUUUUCAUAUUAAUAUUUUAUAGUUACUUUGAUAAGACAAUCGAUGUGUGAAUAUAACGAUUUACACAAGGUAUCCGCCUAUUAACCAUGGAAUCACGUAGUAUAUAUAAUAUUAUUCACUUGGAUAAUCUUUGUACAUUGUUGGGAACUUUUUGAUCUAGUUGAAUUUUGGCCAUGUGGAAACUUCUACUUCCUCUAGUUCGUUUCCAGUACUAAGUUCUAAGAUACUUUAAAAGAAUUAGUGCAUCUUAAGAAACAAUUGUUAAUUCAAUGACUCAAUGACUGAAUAAUUAUGAAAAAUUAUGAAUUGCCUAAAUGAAGUUGGGCGUGAAAGCUAAAAACUUAUCAAUUUAGCAUAAGAAAAUGUGUACAUGCUUGCAUGGUUUUAGGAAUGGCUAACUUAAGAGUUCUUAAUGGUAUGGGAAAUUUGAAGUGAAUAUAAGGAAAACUUGAAGAAAUCCGUGGAAGGUGAGGAUAAUUCCUCAUUUAAGAAUCAAGGUUUUUCACACUUAAGAGAAAAAUUUGCUGUGUCUGGUGCAAUCUUGUCUUGAUUCCUCUUCCUCUACGAUGUCUCCCACUUUCAUGUUGUCUCCCUCUUAAAUCUUUUUUUUUUCUUUCCAUGAGUGCAGUUAUAACUUCCCCUUUUAGUGUAAGGUUGAAGAACAUUACUAGCCUCAUGAAGAUUGCGCUGAACGCACUGGCCAAUCUUCUGGUCAAUUUUAACAAAUUUCUCUUUUAGAAAUGUCCAUCUUUGUUUUCUUUCUUUACUUUUCUAUGUAAACUUAGUUUAUUUUAUUUUUACACAACCGGACUUCGAGAUGUAAUUAAACUUGUACAUAAAAUUUUUGGACCUAACAUAUAUCAUCUCGUUAAAUAGGUUCCCGUUGACAAAGGAAGAACUCAUCUUUAUGUGUAUAGCAUUUUUGGACUACACGUCAAUGUGUUGUAAAAGUCAUAUUGAUGAUGUCCUAAUCUUUGACCAGUGCAACUUUGUGUUUAUCUCCAGCCGUGAGGAGAUAAAAGAGAAAAUAAACACUUUCAUUCUUUUAUGUUUUUUUCUUUUCAAAUUACAGAUUUUGUUAGAUUAUCCAAGAUUUCGUCCUCAUAUAAAAAUUUUAACAUUUUUUCACUAUUAUGGUAAAAUGCUACUUGCUCCAUUCAUUUAUGUUAAAAUAAAAGAAAAAAUGGAUAAUUGUUAAGCUAAAUAAAAAUUAGCUGAUGAAUAUGGCAGAUUGUUUUGUUAGUUAUGUUCGUUUCAGUGUAAUUAAAAUAGAAAUCUCAUGUUAAAAUUUAAAUCUCUAUGUAUUUCUCUUGUAUUUAAAAUUUUAAAAUUUUUUAGGUUUUGCUAUUUUUUUUUGUCCAUUGACAUUUUUACACUUACAGAAAAAAAAAUUCGGCUAUUUAACCAAUGAAUAACUUAAUUUGAUAUCAAAUUCGUCAUCCACUUAAUUCAAAACCUCACUUACAAGUGUGAGAGGUACCAGUAGAUCACUUGCAUGAUCAUUAGUGAAUAUCUUUUAGCUUUUAACUAUAUAAUUCAACGUAUCAAAAUUUUCUUUUUACUUGAUUGCUAUAUCGUUUUUAUUGACAUUAAGUAAUACCUGCUGAAUCAUUGAAUUUACUGGGUAGCAGUUAAACUUAAAAGCAUAAUACUAUUCUCAAAAAUAACAAAAACAAAUAUACUAUUAAUACAAAGGGAACGACACACAAAAUUACACAUAACAGAAACCAAAACAACAGUGCGCAACGAUGGAUCACCCACGCACGGAUCACGCAACCGAGGUCCGACCAGACACUCUUUUAUUAUACAGACUGGCAUUUACUUAUAGUUAUGUGAAACGGGAUGAUUAUCUACUCGGCGUGGCCACCAGGAAGCUUUUCUUUGAUCUUGUCCAUCAUGUUCUUCUUUUCCUGGGGCUCUCCGGUGCGCCCAGUCCCACCAUAAGCUGCAGCAGUAGUUGACGUGUCAUGAGAAUACUGGUCAUCCCUAUUCCCACCUGGCAGCUUCUUCUUGAUCUUGUCCGUCGUACCCUUCUCCUGGUGUUGCUCGCCUACUUUGUAAGUCGUCCCACCACCGUAAGGGGUAGUGGUCUGCGUUCCACCAGAGUACUGGUCAUCCUUGUUACCACCACCUGGUAGCUUCUCCUGGCGUUGCUCUCCUACCUUGUAAGUCGUCCCACCACCGUAAGGGGUAGUGGUCUGCGUUCCACCAGAGUACUGGUCAUCCUUGUUACCACCACCUGGUAGCUUCUCCUUUAUCUUCUCUUUCAGUCCCUUCUUCCUUCUCCCACCUAGCCCAUCAUCUUCAGACGACUACAAUAAUAGAAUGUUAGUUAGACCUGGUUACAAAAAAUAUAUGUAAAUAUAAUGCACAUAUGAUACUUGAAUACAAAGAAAUUGUUCCAUCUAGUAAGAUAAAAUGUUGAUGCAAUAUUUGAAUUUGAAGCAUUGAUUGUGUUGAUAUUCGAAAAACCAAAAUGCGCAGAUACAUAAGUUAUGUGAACAAAAUACGCUAAUUUCCGAAUAGCAUUGUUCGAGAUAAGACAUUUAUACUGUCAAAUAUUGUGUUAUUAAUUUAGAUCACUGAUUAAGUUCACCAUAGUACGCACAGUUUUUCUUGCAAAAGUACUAAAUUGGACAAGCGAAAAUUGUUGCUUGUCUGGUUUUCCUAGUAACAUACGUCUAGGGAAAAGUUUGUUCAUAGUGCCCACAUAUUUGCAGCAUAGCUCAUGCAUUUAAUGAAUUAAGUUGGAACUACAUAUAUAUGGAGGUGAAAAGAGAUGAACUUACAGAGCUAGAGCUUCCUGAGCGCUGAAGCACAGCGGGGCCGCCAUGAUGCCCAACAAUCCCUUCAUCACGAGUCUUAGGAUCAGCAGUCCCGUAGCCGGUAUUAGUCCGACCGUGUUGAACCGCGUUCCCGAACUCGUCGGUCCUAUCGGCUCCUGCGCUACCGUUGUAAGUUGGGUUCCCGAAGUACUCCUCGGUAGUUUUUUCGGCUGUUGUAUUACCAUAAUUCGACAUAUUUCAAAAGAUAAACAAACAAAUGAAACUGUAAUAACAAUGCCUUGCGAAGUUGCGACUAAUAAAACUUCAGUGACAAUACUUAUGAUUUGUUUGGGAUGAUGUGUUUAAUUUGGGUCUGGGUUCGUUGGUUUAUAUAGACAACUGACCUGCACCAGCAGGGCAUGCAAAUAUGGUUGUGAGCGUAAGUGCUUUUUAACAACUUGGAGACGUGGCACUGAGAGGAAAAUGAUGACAGGUGAAAAAUUAACGUCGGCAAGAUAUUUUGUUGCUUUUUGGGUCGGGCAUAUGGAUAAAGAAUGAUAUACAUAUCUGUUCCAUUAGUGACCAUGGAUUUGGUGACACGUGCCCUCCGUACCUGUUCCACUAGCUAGCUCCACGUGGAUACUCUCUUUUGGUUCUAGCCUUCUAGGUCAUAUUGUCUAGUAAUUUCAAAUGAGAAGUGCACUUCAAAAAUUACACUUUACAUUUCUAAUAAAUGUAUUUUUCUUUUUUAAUAUAUAAAGUUUUAAGUUUAGAAUGAGAUUUUUUGAAUGCUAAUAACAAUUCUCUUUCAAAUUUAAUCUAUAGUUUCUCAAGAAGCCUAUAGUCAUAAGACUCAUAACUUAAAGCCAUUACGAGAUGAUUUAGAGAUGAAUUUUAAAUUUAUAUUCUACGUAACAUGUUUUAAGUUCAAUUUCUACGACUGAUAAAUUGUACGAUGAUGAUAAGAGAAAACUAAAUUACCUCUGUAAGCUUUUUUCAUUCUUAAAAAGACAAACUACUGUAGUGAAGUUACCAACCUGUUCGUUUUUAAAAGAAAAAAAAUGCAAACUCACAACUUUGCUGGGAAACUGAGAGCUUUUUGACUAGGUAAUUUGGCAUGUCUGUUGGUGAUAGCCUUCUAGGUCUUCUUGAUCUUACCGACACUAUCCUACGAGUUAUUUUCUCGUUUUAAUUUUUAUUUAGAUUACAAUAUUCACAUACUGUUUUUUACACAAAAAUUAAUUUGAGUAUGAUCCCAUUUUUUUUUUUACAAUAUUCACAUAGUUUUUUUUUUACUUUUCACACAUAUUUCUUAAUUUUCAAUUAUUUAAUUAAAUAAAUUGAAGAAGAUCUAUGACGAAAAAUUAACAAAAGUGUGUUAAUAGAACUUUUCUAACUUAGACAUAUCUCGACAGACUUGGCACCAUUAAAUCUUCUGCUCCACACUAAUUUUAUACACUCCAAAUAAAAGUGAUAUUUUUUACAUAAAAUUAAUUUGAGUGUGAUCACAUUUUUAUGUCAUAUUGAUGUACUAUAUAAUGUAACAAAUGAUGCAGGUAUAUAAUUAGCAUCUAAUGAUAUAAAAUUUAUUAAUUAAUCUUGUUGAUGCACAAAAUCGGUGAGGACUUUGGUACAACAGAAAGUGUUAAGUUUGUGACCUUCGCUAAAUUGCUCUGGUCACUAGUGUGGAUAAGUAUGUAAAUGGAUAGAGACAGGGAAGCAAACAUAAGAUGUACGUGGUUCACCCAGAUUGGCUACGUCCACGAAGUAGAUGAGUUCUCAUUAAUUGUGAAGGGUUUACACAAGUACAUAGGUUCAAGAUCUCCUUUAGUGAGUACUAGUGAAUGAUUUAAUACAAAUUACAUUAGGAAAUAUUGUGAGAGAAUGAUCUUUAUUUAUAGAAGAGAAUUUCUAGUUUCAUUCUGACAUUGACACGUGUCAUGUUGUGAUUGGCUUUUGAUGUUGACACGUAUCACGCUAUGAUUGGCUUCUGAUGUCGACACGUGUCGCGCUGUGAUUGGCCUCCUGGUUGGAGGGAAACUCUUCUGGGUCCUUGACGGUAUAACGUUGAUCGGUGCUCAGUAGUUUCGGGAUUGGUCAAGUGUGGUACAAACAGUGCUCCCCUAAGUUCCCGAGUGAGGGAAGCUCCUCGGUUGGGGACUUGCAAGAUCCAAGCCAUUGAGUAAUCACAAAACUUCUAAGUACCGAAGUGUGGUAUCAUUUUCACUUGCCUUAUCCGUCUCAUACGUAGAUGUGGCAUCUUCUCUGGAAGUACUUUUCCUCCAUCCAGGGGUGGUAUCUUUAACCGAUGAAGAUGCACAAGGUAAUGUAUCAAUUUCACUUGAAGCUUACUUGUAGUUUCGAGCUUGGUCAAGUGCGAUACAAAACCCUAUGGUAGGAGUCCCCCAAGUCGCCAAGCUAAGAGAUUUGCUGAAAGAGGUAACAGACAAGGUAAGCAAUCCGACUUCCAAGCAAGCAACCUGGAUCGGAGGUUCGACUUCGGCUUCCGGUUGAUUUUUCUCCUUCUCCUUGUGUCGUAAACAGCAACAAUGAUAAGGAGAAGCAAAUGGAGAAGAGAUGAUAUAAGAUACUUUUUCUUUUGAAGAAGUAAUUUUCCACAGGCUUAUUCUUAAACUGGGCAUGAGGGUUUUCUGGUUUCCUCCAGAGUAUAAGGCCGACUCAAGAAUUUGAGGGUCAAAACAAAUCCAUCAAAUCAAGAGUGCGUUUGACCUUGAUGAUAUGGGAUACUUUUGUUGUUGACGAAGUAAUAGAUGAAUUAGCAUGUGUUCUAUUGCGAUUGUCUCCAUAUGCUUCCUUGUAUCAUUCUCACUUGCCCUAUUUGUUCCUCAGGCAGAUGUGGUAUCUUUUCUGGAAGCAUAAGAUGUUGAAGAUGAGUACUCGAGAGCAAUGCCAGGUAAGUAAUCAGGCAAGGGGUUCUAGGCAGUCAGUUCCUGACUGGAAGCUUGAUUCCAAGUGCUGAUUGAUUGCUUUCUUUCUUCUUGUCUUGCAGUUAAGAACAAUGGCAAAGGAAAAGACAGGGAAAAGGCAUGAUAUGGGAUACUCUUGCUUUUGACCCUGAUGAUAUAAGAUACUCUUGCUCUGGUGUGGCUGGUUUGCAUAGGUAUUAUUGGGGGAGGAAGAAAGCUGAGUAUUUCGAGAGGCUUCGUUGGGAAUGCCCUAUCAGAUAUGAGGAAAAGUUAAGCAUUUUUGCAGGUCUGCCUAUCCGUGGAGGAUGGAGUUCGACAUAUAUAGGAGUCUCCCUAACAACAAGUAGUAAUGUUAUUCCUUUACCCUUCUUGGUCGUAGCAAUGUAAUGGGAGCUGCAAGCUUCACGUGUUUUAACUUUGUUAGAGCACUUUGAAAAAGUGGUAUGUGGUAUUUAGAAAGCUGAUGUUGCGUGUGAAGAUUGCAGACAAGCUUUAUCCAAGGAAAUCUGGCUCUCGAAGUUCGGAGAGCGAUGUCUCUUUGGUUUUCGAACAAGCAAUCCUGUCAGGGAUUUGGCUCUCGAGAUUUGGAGAGUGGUACCUCUUCGAUUUUUGAGAAAGUAAUCCUGUUGGGAGUCUGGCUCUUGAGAUUCGGAGAGCGGUGCCUCUUCGAUUUUUGAGAAAAUAAUCUUGUUGGGAGUCUGGCUCUCGAAAUUCGAAGGGCGGUGCCUCUUCGAUAGCAAGUAAUAAUGUUAUUCCUUUACCCUUCUUGGUCAUAGCAAUGUAGUGGGAGCUGCAAACUUCACAUGUUUUAACUUUGUCAGAGCGCUUUGAAAAAGUGGUCUGUGGUAUCUGGAAAGCUGAUGUUGCGUGUGAAGAUUGCAGACAAGCUUUAUCCAAGGAAAUCUAGCUCUCAAAGUUCGGAGAGCGGUGCAUCUUUGGUUUUCGAAUAAGCAAUCCUGUCGGGGAUCUGGCUUUCAAGAUUCAGAGAACGGUGCCUCUUCGAUUUUUGAGAAAGCAAUCCUGUUGGGAGUCUGACUCUUGAGAUUCGGAGAGCAGUGUCUCUUCGAUUUUUAAGAAAGUAAUCUUGUUAGGAGUCUGGUUCUCGAGAUUCGGAGAGUGGUUCCUCUUCAAUUUUUGAGCAAGCAAUCUUGUUGGUAGUGUUUUCUCGAAUGUGAGUAAAGGUUGGGCAUUUUUGCCAGUCUGUCUUUCCACAGAGCACGGAGGUUGACACACAUUGAGACUUUCUAGUUAUUAAGCAAUGGUGCUGUUCCUUUACCCUUGUGGGUAAUAGUAGCGUAGCUAGACCUUCAAAAUUUAUGUGUCUAAACUUUUUCAGAGAUCUUUGGCAAAGUUAUUUGUGGUGCCUGAGGAGCUGAUGUUGCAUGUGGAAAGUGGUGCUUCUUCGGAAUCUGGAAAGUGGUGCAUCUUCGAUUUUUGAACCAACAGCCAUGUUGCUCUUUUUUUUAUAAGGGCACCAAUUGUGUGCAAGGAGUACAUUCAGAGAGUUAUUGCUUGUAGGAAUUUUCCCCUUACUUCAGAGAUUUAUUGCACCUCAUUUCUCCUUCAUCAUUUCUGAGAAUGUCUGGCCCAUCCGACCGUCGUUUUGACUUGAACUUUGGUGAAGAGGCAGCCAUGCCUUCUCAAGACAACAUACGACACCCAUCCUUCUUAUCUCCUACUGGUCCUCUUACCGUUUGGAACUCUGUGAUGAAGAAUGAUAUGACCGCUGCGGUGGUGGCCAAAAACCUUCUCACUCCCAAAGAUAACAGACUAUUUUCCAAAUGGUCUGAUGAGUUGGCUGUUAAGGAUUCUUUGGCUCUCAGUGUUCAGUGUGCAAGUUCUGUGUCUAAUAUGGCCCAACGCCUAUGUGCUCGAACCCGCCAAGUUGAAUCAUUGGCGGCUGAAGUGAUAAGUCUCAAAUAGAAGAUCAGAGGGCUCAAGCAUGAGAAUAAACAGUUGCACAUGCUCGCACAUGGCUAUGCUACAAACAUGAAAAGGAAGCUCGACCAGCUGCAGGAAUCUGAUUAUUAGAUUUUACUUGAUCAUCAGAGGUUUGUGGGUUUGUUCUAAAGGCAUUUAUUACCUUCGUCUUCUGGGGCUGUACCGCGUAAUGAAGCUCCAAAUCAACCUUCGGUGCCUCCUCCUUCUGGGGUUUUGCCUAGUACUGAGGCUCCGAAUAAUCACCCUCUAGUGCCUCCUCUUUUUGGGGCUCUGCUGACUGCUGAGACUUCUCCUAAGCAACCUUUGUGAAGGCUCCCUCUUGUUUGUUUAUUUUGAUUCAUGUCUAUGUACAUAUUUGUAACUUAUUGGAGAUAUCAAUAAACAAGCUUUGCUUCAUUUCAACGUAUUGUGUUAAAUACACCAAGACCUUCUUCACUAAGUUUCUUGAAUUUUUCCUUUUGUUGAAGCUUGUAUGUUGAAGCUUUGUGAGUGAAGCAUGUAGGUUGAGGUAAUGCUCCCUCCCUUAAUUUCCUAAGUGAGGAAAACUUCUCGGUUGGAGACUUGAAAAAAUCCAAGUCACUGAGUGGUCGUGAGACUUCCGAGUAUCAAGGUGCAGUAGCAUAUGGUAGGAGUCCCCGAAGUCUCUGGUUGAGGGAGUUGACGAAGGAGGUGUCUUGCUAGUAGCCAAGUUUCCAAAGUAACAAAACUUCACAAUUUUCCUUUCUAAGUGGUAGCCCAAAACUCUUUUUUCAUAUAUAUUUGUUAUAAAAGUUGUUAGGCCCAAAGAAGAGGAGGCCUAGGCUUUUUUAUUUUUUUUUCAAUUUUUUUUUGUUUUAAAUUUUCGAAUUUUUGAAUUUCCGAAUAUAUAUAUAUAUAUAUAUAUAUAUAUAUAUAUAUAUAUAUAUAUUUUAAGCUUUAUAGGUGAAGCUUUGUGGGUGAAGCUUUGAGGUUGAAGCUUUGUUGGGUACCAUGAAUUGAUUUUGCUUCACACUAUCUUGAUCAAGAUAGUGUGAAGUUUUUGUAGGUGAAGCUUUUGUGUUGAUGCUUUGUAGGUGAAGUUUUUGUGGUGGGUGAAACUUUUGUUGGUGAAGUUUUUAUGGGUAAAGCUUUUUGUGAUGGGUGAAACUUUUGUUGCUGAAGCUUUUAUGGGUGAAGCUUUUGUGGUGGGGGAAGUUUUUGUGGUGGGGGAAGCUUUUGUGGGUGAAGCAUUUGUUGGUGAAGCUUUUAUGGGUGAAGCUUUUGUAGGUGAAGCUUUUGUGGUGGGUGAAGCUUUUGGAGGUGAAGCUUUUGGGGGUGAAGCUUUUGUGGUGGGUGAAGCUGUUGUGGGUGAAGAUUUUGUUGGUGAAGCUUUUAUGGGUGAAGCUAUUGUGGGUGAAGCUUUUAUGGGUGAAGCUAUUGUGGGUGAAGCUUUUAUGUUGAAGUUUUGUGGGUAAAGCUUUUGUGUUGAAGCUUUGUAGGUGAAACUUUGGAGUUAAAGCUUUGUAGGUGAAGGUUUUUUUUUGAAGCUUUUGUAGGUUGAGCUUUGGAGUUGAAGCUUUGUAGGUGAAGCUUUGGAGUUGAAGCUUUUGUUGGGUACCAUGAAUUGAUUUUACUUCACACUAUCUUGAUCAAGAUAGUGUAAAGCUUUUGUUGGUGAAGCUUUUGUAGGUGAAGCUUUAGAGUUGAAGCUUUUGUUGGGUACCAUGAAUUGAUUUUGCUUCACACUAUCUUGAUCAAGAUAGUGUGAAGCUUUUUUUGGUGAAGCUUUUGUUGGUGAAGCUUUUGUAGGUGAAGCUUUUGUUGGUGAAGCUUUGAAGUUGAAGCUUUGUAGGUGAAGCUUUGGAGUUGAAGCUUUUGUUGGGUACCAUGAAUUGAUUUUGCUUCACACUAUCUUGAUCAAGAUAGUGUGAAGCUUUUGAGAAUUUAUAGUUGUCCUCCAUUGAUGAAGCUUUUGUUGGUGAAGCUUUUGGAGUUGAAGCUUUUGUUGGGUACCAUGAAUUGAUUUUGCUUCACACUAUCUUGAUUAAGAUAGUGUGAAGCUUUUGAGAAUUUCUAGUUGUCUUCCAUUGAUGAAGCUUUUGUUGAUGAAGUUUUUGUGGUGAAGCUUUGUUGGGUACCAUGAAUUGAUUUUGCUUCACACUAUCUUGAUCAAGAUAGUGUGAAGACUUUUGAGAAUUUGUAGUUGUUCUCUAUUGAUGAAGCUUUGUUGAAUUUCCUUUUUUUUUUUUUUUUUUUUUUUGGGAAACUAGAAAUUUGAAAAUUUGGGAGAGACAAUAUAUACAAAUUUUGCUUCCACACUGUUGAGUAAGAGAUUGUGAUGCAAGCCACACCUUGUAGUAGUCGAAGGUUUGGAUGAACCAUAUAAAUUGAAUUUGCUUCGAAGGUUUAAGAAUUGUAGUUGCCCUCUAUUGAUGAAGCUUUUGUUGGCACCACAAAUUGGUUUUGCUUCACACUAUCUUAAUUAAGAGUGUGUGAAGCUUUUGAGAAUUGUGGUUGUCCUCCAUUGAUGAAGCUCUUGUUGGCACCAUAAAUUGGUUUUGCUUCACAUUGUCUUGAUCAAGAGUGUGUGAAGCUUUUGAGAAUUGUGAUUGAACUCCUUUGAUGAAGCUUUUGUUGGCACCAUAAAUUGGUUUUGCUUCACACUGUCUUGAUCAAGAGUAUGUAAAGCUUUUGAGAAUUGUGGUUGCCCUACAUUGAUGAAACUCUUGUUGGCACCAUAAAUUGAUUUUGCUUCACACUGUCUUGAUCAAGAGUGUGAAGCUUUCUACGAGUUGUAGUGUUUGGAUUGUUACAGAGGGGAAAUGUCUGAAGCAGAUGCAAGAGAGCUGAAUAGCUUGAUCUUCGUAUGCCAUGCACUGAAGUUGUUGUUGACUUGUAAUAAGACUUUGUUGGUGACUAUAACUCUUGUUGGGCAUAAGUGCUCCCCUAGUUAAGUUGUCAAGCUUGAGGGUUUUUUAUUAUUUGUGAAUGCUAAGAGUUCACAUGUAUAAGUUAUACCACACAUCUUCUAGUAGGUGGAAUGAAUGGUGAGUUGCUUUCAUCACUUGGUUGGUGGUACGAAGGUGAGUUCCUUCAUCACCUUUCAUCACAUUUCAUCACCUGGUUGGUGGAACGAGGAUGAGUUCCUUCUUCACCUGGUUAGUGGCAUGAAUGGUAAGUUGCCAAAUGAUAUUAGAGUACGGGUUGUACAUAUCACAUGGUUGGUGGCAUGAAGAUGAGUUCCUUCUUCACCUAGUUGGUGGCAUGAGUGGUAAGUUGCCAAAUGAUAUUAUAGUACUGGUUGUACAUUUCAUCACCUGGUUGGUGGCAUGAAGAUGAGUUCCUUCUUCAUAUUUCAUCACCUGGUUGGUGAGAAUAAGGGCAAGGUGUCGAGGCACAUUGUAGCAAGUGUCAAGGACACAAAGUAUGUUGAACCCUUUCGAAGCACAGUUGGCUUAUGUAUGGAUGUGUUGGAAUGUAUAAUAUUUAUGUUGAUUGAUAUAAGUGAUGCUUAUGAAUGUUUUGCUAUGCAUGAAGGGAUUCAUGCUUUUGAUAUGUGAACCAUGUUGGUUGUAACACUUAGUAUCACAUACUUUGUGUCAAAGUACGCAUGUUGAAGCUCUGAGUUUGAGUAUAAGGGUAGGUCAGCAUAGACCCAGUGUUCCAGUGCUAGGAACGCAAAAGACUCAGAAGAAGUUCUCUGAAUUCCCUCUUCUUUAAAUAUUUUCCGAAUGACUUGUGUGACAAAAGAUCUCAAGCGGUUGAGGGUUAAAACAUUUGUAACGUGUAUGCCUUCUUAUAAUAGCAUUUCCUUCAGUACUUAGUCAUCCACUUUGAAAGAGUAAGGCUGACCCUAUAGUCAUAAUAGUCGACAGUACGUUCACCCCUGGUUGUCUUGAUACAAACUUUUAUCCUUCUUGUUGUAAUGGGCUUGCUGAAAGUAAAAUCAUUUCUCUUACCAAGAGACAGAUACGUUUGGUGACUUAGCAAGUAGCUAAAUAAGGCAAGAGAUGAUACAAUGGGUGUCUGAAUGGCCAAUAUCUCAUCACUUGGUAUAACUUGACUUCCACUUCCCAUUUGUUAAUAGGGGUUAACCAUAUGGGGCUUCCCUUGGUAUGUCCUUGCUUCGGUGGAGGCGUGGUUGUAAGCAUGUGUCAUCACCUCAGAGUAAGUCUUCCAAGUGUUGGCAUUGAUCAUGUACUUGAAGAAACAAUCACGUAGGCCUGCCGUGAAGGCCUUGAAGGCGAUCUUGUCAUCUGCCUCAGCGCAUCGAGAAUACUCAUGGCUGAAGCGACCGACAUACUCUUGUAGUGACUCGUCCGGCUUCUGGCAAAUAGUGUACAAGUCAUCUACAGAAUGUAAGUGAUCGGUCUAGAAGAUGUAUUGAGAGGCAAACAGUUUCCUCAAUUCCUCAAAUGAGUCUACUGUCUCAGGUAGAAGACGGCAAUACUAGUUUAGAGCUCCGCCAGAGAGGGUGGAGGGGAAGAGAAGACGUCGCUUUUCGUCGGUGUGUAUCCGAUAUGUCAUGGUGGACUCAAAGAGGUUAAGGUGUUUAAUUGGGUCAUCCCUUCCAGUAUAGAGUUGUAAACCAAGCUUUUGUUUUGUCUUUGCUUGAAUGGGGUGUCGAGGAUCUUUCUUGUGAGAGGGCCAUGCCGGGGUUGGUUCCAGUCAGGUAUCUUGGCCUGACGUUCGGCCUUCAACUUGUUUACUUCCUCAAUGAGCUUUAGGACAAGGGGGUCAUGAGUGGAGUUAUGUACCACUGGAAUUUUCUUUCGUAAGUCUCAAUCGCCUCUUGGAAGUAAGAAAGUUUGAGCAUGGGCAUGUGGUUUUUUCUUCGACUCGCCGUACUGACUUAUAUGGCGAGUAUAUCGGAAUACCUCAGAGUCCCCCGUACUUUCAUGCUUCUCUGGGACCUGUUGUUCCUUCCCUACAUUGGCAGCUGGCCUAGGUUAUGGGAGGGGACCGAAUCUUUCAGAAACCCUUGGGUCAUUGAUCUUCGAGCAUAUGUGGAAGGGAUUCUCUCGACGUUGCUUUAGGAAGUCUCGGUAGUCACGAUAAACGGCUUUCGAUCCUUCCAACCUUUCUGCAAGGAGGUGUCUUCUUCCACUUCUUUUACUUCGGGUCGAAACAUCUGGGUUGAGAGAAAUCUCAUGUUGAUCAAUGUUUUGAUGAUUAGCUCGCUCCUCAUCAGGGAUACCCAUGUCGAAUGGAGGUGACCCUCUGUGUUGAGGGGCACCCAGAUGAUGGUUAAUGUCCACAAGGACAACGAGCUCGCAUGUUUGAGUACACCUAGUUUCAUGGAGCAUCUCAAAGAGCUUCUCAUACUGCUCCUAGAGGACCUCAUUCUUCAUUGCUAUCUUGUUGUUCUGAGCUUCUAGCUUAUCAACUUUAGCUUGAAGAGCAACCUAUUUCCUUCGUUCUUUCGUUGCUUCACACUAGAUGCAAGAGAGGUGUCAUUCUGUGUGCUGUGGCUUCCUUCGCUCUACAUGUUGGAAAUGGAUGCCUGGUCAAAAAAGAGUGUAUGAAUGGUGGAAACCAGCUUGGCAAAGCUGAAGAGAGUGGGAAUAAGUGUCUUUCCCACAGACGGCGCCAAAUGUUGAUGCACAAAUUCGGUGAGGACUUUGGUACAACAGAAAGUGUUAAGUUUGUGACCUUCGCUAGAUUACUCCGGUCACUAGUGUGGAUAAGUAUGUAAAUGAAUAGAAAUAAGGAAGCAAACACAAGAUGUACGUGGUUCACCCAGAUUGGCUACGUCCACGGAGCAGAUGAGUUCUCAUUAAUUAUGAAGGGUUUACACAAGUACAUAGGUUCAAGCUCUCAUUUAGUGAGUACUGGUGAAUGAUUUAGUACAAAUGACAUUAGGAAAUAUUGUGAGAGAAUGAUCUUUAUUUAUAGAAUAGAGUUUCUAGUUUCAUUCUGACAUUGACACGUGUUGUAUUGUGAUUGGCUUCUGAUGUUGACACGUGUCACGCUAUGAUUGGCUUCUGAUGUCGACAUGUGUCGCGCUGUGAUUGGCCUCCUGGUUGAAGGGAAACUCUUUUGGGUCCUUAACAGUAUAACGUUGAUCGGUGCUCAGUAGUUUCGGGAUUAGUCAAGUAUGGUACAAACAAAUCUAAUAUGUAUAAUUUGUCACAUCAAGUGAUACAUAAAAAAUGGUGCAAAAAUUUCUCAACAUUUUCUUUGACAUAAAUGUGUUCAAAUAGUAUUAUUUUCAAGCACAUCAGUAUUCAUUCAAAAGUAGCUCGUCCUUUUUUUAUUUGCUAUUUUUGUUUUGAAUAUACCCUCCUUCCAUUUUCACUAUAUAUAUUAUUUAUUUUUUAGAAAAAAAGGAGACAAUUGGUGGUAAGUCAUUUUAUCUACUCCUUUUGAGUCCGAAAAGACUAUGGAAAUUUUCACUCUGCUCGUGACUACAGUCAAACAAACUACUCAGUUCAGAGCAUCGAACUCAGGACCUUCCAUAUUUUUUUGUUUUUUGGGGAGCUGCAAUCUAUGCCCUUACCACUGAGUCACUUGCUGUGGUUUUCCAUUUUCACUAUCUACUCUCUACGUUUAAGUGUGGAUUACAGAGUCCUCAGCGAAUUAGAGUUAACUAAUUCAAAAUUAUUUUAGUCAUUAUUGCAGGUAUAUAAGAUUGUACUUUUUAAUUGUAAUUAGUGUAAGAUUCUUAUUUAAAUAGGAUUAAUAUAACCAUUUAUCCACCCUUGGACUUCGUCGGACAAUGAUCAUACUCCACUAGCUAGUUCAAUGGAGGCGUUGUACAAUUAAAGAAUUGGGUGUUUAUUUAACUUAACUUUUUGAUUAAUGAGAUUACAAAUCAAACAACGCUUAAACAGAAACCAGAGUUUUAUUGCUCUAUUUGCACAUUUGUCUUAUUUAAUUUGUUCAAUUCUAUUGAUUCCUUUGAUUCAACGUGAUCUAAUCUGGAGUUUAAUUAUCUCAAUUUGUUCAUUUAUCUUGGAUUAAUUAUUUUUACUUGACUAAUUGUUGGAUUGGUUGGUUGUUGAUAUGGGAAGGUGUUGCAUGGACGAAGGAGAAGGACAAGCUGUUCUUGGUGGAUUAACUCUAUAAUCAUUUGAUCAUAUGAAAACAUGGGAUCCUCACAACAGCCAGUUUUCUCCCAGGAAGCGUCGCUCUCUCAUUCUACAACCCAUUUCGCAUUCUCCUCAUUUUUAGAAUGUAAAACCAUUCGUGCGACUCUAGAAAUCCAGAGGAGGUAGAAGGCGACAUGCACGAGAGAUUUUUCAGUGUAACCGUCACACGAGAUGGUACACCAUGUGUCGUUAUAUAAAUGGUGGGAUAUGUGUGUUAAAAAGUUAAUAACUUAAAAAAUAAAUUUUUUUACCAUUUACAUAAAAACACGUGGUGUACCACUCGUGUUCCUGCCACAACUAAAAAUCUAGCACUUUAGGGGGGAAAACUGAUCUCGCUUCUCCAAAGAAAGAUUAAUCCGAUAACGAUUCCAUGCACUAGAGAGUUGAUAGGGCCGUUUCAGUGGCCAGAAAAAGAAAACAAAGAAGUAAGAGAUGGAUUUCCAUUGCAGAAAAUAUUUGACUUGAUGGGUACACUUAAAUAAUUUUGCAGGCCACAUACCACAAGGGAUAAGAUGCAUCAGUUUUCCACCCGACUACUUUUUGAGAAGAAUGUUUCAGCCAGGAAGAUUUUCUAUCUUCUUCAACAACACAACCAAUGCAGACGUGAGUGGUAAGAUGUCGUACAAAGACAUGGUUUUUCUCCAUACUCUUAUGUAUUCCUCGGUUUGUUAGAAACAUCAGCCAAAAACACUCUUAAUCUUCGAUUAAUAAUUUAAUAUUACUGUCCCCCCCUUUGCCCAAAAGCACUUAUGGCCCAAGCAAUCAUUUUUUUCUUCUAUUCAAUAUCUAUCUUACAUGAUUACUAUAAUCUUGUGUAUUUUGGAUUGUGAAGGUUCAUAUUAUAUAACUCAAUCAUAAGAAGGUCGACUUCAUUUUACAUUUGUAAUCAGUUUCAUUUUCUCCCCAGUUGCGCAAGAUUUUACCAUAUAAUUGAUUGUUGCUUAUCUAUAUAUUGAAGAUUCGGAUAGACGCCAAAGACUUUAUAUAUGUUUAGAAGAGAAUGAUUUUGUUUGGAAUGAAUGUGUCUUUAGUCAUCUCUCACGGAUGGAUUUAUAAGAUGUUACAAUCCUAUCAUUAAGGAAAGAAAUAAUUUACAUAAAAUCAUAAUAAACUAAGAAUCCCAAGAUUACAUGAAUAUAUACACAAAAGUCAACAUUCCCCCUCAAGUUGGUGCAUAUAUAUCACACAUGCCCAACUUGUGUAAGAAAAUUGAAAAUUUAUGACUUGAAACAGCCUUUGUGAGAAUAUCUGCUAACUGAUGGUCUGUUCUUAUUGUCGGUACCUCAAUUAUCUUCCUUUCUAAUUUUUCUUUGAUAAAGAAUCGAUCAACUUCAACAUGCUUUGUUUUAUCAUGUUGUACCAGGUUAUGUGCAAUGUCACAGGCAGUUUUGUUAUCACAAAAUAAUUUCAUAGGUUGAUCAUGUUCCAUACCCAUAUCUCUUAACAAAAGCUUAAGCCACAAAAUUUCACAAAUCUCCAAGGCCAUACCUAUGUAUUCAUCUUCUGCACUGGAACAGACAACCACAUUUUGUUUCUUACUCCUCUAUGUAACCAAGUUACCCCCAACUAAUGUAAAGUAACCUAAUGUUGAGCGUCUGUCAUCCACUAAACCUACCCAAUCUGCAUCAGUAUAACCUUCAAUUCUAAGAUUCUUAUUCUUUUUAAAUAAAUUUUCUUUUCCUGGACUUCCGUUCAAAUACCGCAAGAUUCUCAUCACUGCGUUCAUAUGUUGUUCUCCAAGAUCAUGCAUGUAUUGACUCACUACACUUAAGGCAUAGGCAAGGUCCGGUCUUGUAUGUGCCAAGUACAUUAAAUGUCAUACUAACCUUUGGUAUCUUCCUUUGUCUAAUGGCACUUGAUUAGGAUCAACGCUAAGCUUUAAUCCUUCCUCUAAUGGUGUAGUUACCAGUUGGCAAGCUGACAUGCCGAUUUCGUGCAACAAAUCAAUAAUAUACUUCCUCUGAGACAAGAAAAUUCCAGAAGUACUUCUCGACACUUCAAUCCCUAGAAAAUAUUUUAGGGAUCCAAGGUCCUUCAUCUCAAAUUCUUUAAACAUGUAUCUUUGCAAGGCCGUACGUUCUUCCGGAUAUUUUCAUGUUAUCACCAUAUCAUUUACAUACACAAUGAGUGCAGUAAGCCUCCCAUUUUUCCUUUUCAAAAAUAGAGUAUGAUCAAAGUUACUUUGUCUAUAACCAAACGCUCUCAUAGAUUUUGUGAAUCUUCCAAACUAUGCUCGAGGAGACUGUUUCAAACCAUACAAGGAUUUCUUCAACCUGCACACCUUUCUCUUGUAAUUAUUUGGAGCAUUACAUUCUGGUGGAAGAUCCAUAUAAAUCUCUUCUGUCAAAUCUCCAUGCAAGAAGACAUUUUUCACAUCGAACUGCUGUAAAGGCCAAUUAAGAUUUGCAGCCAAGGACAACAAAACACGGAUUGUGUUGAUUUUGGUCACAUGAGCAAAAAUAUCUGUAUAAUCGAUUCCAUAUUUUUAAAUGUACCUUUUUGCUACCAGUCUUGCCUUGAAGCGAUCUCCCGUCCCAUCAGCUUUGUAUUUUACAAUAUAGACUCAUUUGCAUCCCAUAGGUUUUUUACCAGCUGGCAAGUCUGUGAUCUCCCAGGUAACAUUCUUCUUUAAAGACUUCAAUUCUUCAUCCAUUACUGCUUGCCAACGUGGAUCAGCUAAAGCCUUCUGCACAAUGUUAGGAAUAGAUAUAGUAGAUAAUUGAUAUACAAAUGACUUACUUGAGUCUGACAUGUGGCUGGUAGACACAACAUUACUUAACGGGUAUAACACAUUAGAUUUUGGGUUUGGUCUAUUAAUUAGGUACCUAGUUUUGCAUUUAAGGUCUGCUUCGCAAGUAAGUUUAGGAAUACCUUGGUUGACACAGUUAGGGAGACAACAUGGUGGUGGUGUAUCCGGGAGCGAAGAUAAUUGAUUAUGGAUAUUAGGGCUCAAAGGUGGUGAGACCGAUUGUGAGAUAGCAGGCAUCACUGAGUUGUUCAAUGGUGAGGAAGUUGGCAAAGAGUUGUCCAAUGGUGAAGAAGGUACAACAUUUUCCAGCUGUGUCGGUUCGUCCCUUUCGAAGUUUUCAACAUUGUUUUCAUGUGAAUGAUCACCACUUAACUCCAAGACAUCACCACCUAAUUCCAAGUUAUUCACAUCAUUAUUUUCUUGUGAAUCAUCACCACUUGUCCAAGACAUCACCGCUUAAAUCCAAAUGAUUCACAAUAUUAUUUUCUUGUGAAUCAUCACCACUUGUCUCCAAUAUAUCACCAUUUAAAUCCAAAUGAUUCACAAUUUCUAUAUCAGGAAUAGUAUAAUCAAGAGUUUGAACUUCUACUUGAUUCUGUCCAUGAAGUCCAGACUCGGAAUGGACAAAGUACAUAUCGUUUUCAUGAAAUACAACAUCCACAGUGACAAACAACUUAGUCGGAGGGUGAUAGUAGCGAUAUCCUUUUUUAUUUGAGGCAUAACCCACAAACAUACACAGUAAGGCUUGAGGUUCAAGCUUACUCAUCUGUUGUUUAUUGUGAUGAACGAAGGCCACACAGCUAAACGCAUAAGGUGGAAGAUUUGGUACUACAUGAGCAUCAACAUGUGAAGAGAGAACCUGAAGUGGUGUUUGAAAAUCAACUGACCGGGAUGGAACAUGAUUAAUGAGAUACACAUAUGAGGUGAGAACUUCUCCCCAAUAUGACAACGGGAGACAUGCCUCGAGUAAGGAAGCAUGAACAAACUUCAGAAGGUGACGGUUCUUAUGUUCUACAACUCCAUUUUGUUGUGAAGUAUAUGGACACAUAGUUUGAUGAACGAUACCCUAAUGUUCCCAAAAGGCACAAAGUUCAGACUUCACAUACUCGCCACCAUUAUCACUUCUGAGAACCUAUAUUCGUGACUUAUAUUGCACUUGCACCAUUUUGUGAAAUUGCUUGAACAAGGAAGUAACUUCACUUUUGGACUUCAUCAAACAAACCCAAGUCAUACAUGUGCAAUCAUCAAUAAAAGUAACAAACCAAUAACCACCACCAAAUGUAGCAGUUUUAGAUGGUCCCCAAACAUCAAAAUGGAUUAUCAUAAAUGGAACAUAACUUUUUGUCAAACUGGGCGAAAACGAAGUACGAUGACUUUUAGCCAAUUCACAAACACCACAUUUAAAGCUAGAAACAUCAUUCUUAAGAAAUAUUUUAGGAAACAGCUUUCGUAAAUAACCGAAAGAAGCAUGUCCAAGUCUAUGAUGCCACAACCAAACCUUCAAAGCUUUGUUCUGCUCCCCUUGAGGUCCUUCCACAGUAAUAGCUUGUGUCAACAUCUGGGUACUGUUCGAUGUUAUCUCCAAGUAGUAAAGUUUCCCCUUCUAAUACCAUAACCAAUCGUCUUGCGAGUCCGAAUAUCCUUAAAGACACAAAAGGAAUGCCAAAAACUCACAAGACAAUAUAGGGCGACGGUUAUUUGAGAAAUAGAUAAUAAAUUAUAAUCAAGAGAAUGAACAACAAGCACGGUAUCAAGACUAAGGGUAUCUGAAAGGGAGACAGUUCAUUCCCCGAUAAUAGGGGCAAGAUUACAGUUGGUGACACUCACGAUAGUUUUGGUGGAUGGUUUUAAGGUUUGUACCUGUCUAGAAUCACAAGUCAUAUGUUCAGUACCACCAAAAUCAAUUAUCCACGUAUUAUUUGUAACAGAGGCAGAAACCUUUAAAGUCGUGAUUCCAAUUUCGCCCAAAGUUCUCGAGCAAAAGUCACGCCAACCGUGAAAGGAAUUAAUGAUUUAUAAAGAGUUGAAUUAAUCCAGAUAAGAAUGUUUUAAUCAUUCUCAAACCAAGUGACAUAGGCUGGAUUGAGAGUUGCAAUCUGAUUCCCUAACAAAUCAAGAAGAAAUUUGGGCACUGCCGCCAUAGUUCUAUCAAUUAGACUAGUGAGUUUGUAACAACGGAAGAUCGGAGCAAACAAAGCGUUCCAUGUCAGAUAAUUUGUAGUAGUGAGCUUGAUCGGAACCAUGGAUCCAAUAUUUUGGAUUGUAAUGGAAGAAGAAAUUGCAGAGUUAUGGUUUGGAAUUACAUUAGGAAACGAAGGAACAGGAGAAUCCGAUUUCGAAGAAGGAGAUGCAGAGGUCUCCAUAACUGUAGGUUGAAGAAGAAAGCAUGGUCAAGAUCAAGAAAUCGAUCAAUUGAUUGGAGAAGACGAAGAAAAUUAGGCGGUGCAGAGAGAAGCGGGAAAAUUGGAUCGAAGAGGUGUCGUGAGACCAAAGGUGGUUGAUACCAUAUUAGGAAAAGUAAUUUUCCAUUCAUCAAAUGAAUAACAUUACACUUUGGGUAUUUAUACAAAAGCUAUCACAACUAACAGACAAGAAAAACCUUCAAAAUUAACUAAAUUUCCUUAGUCUAUAAGCAUUAUCUCUUGUAGGUGUAAUUACAUUUGUAUUCUUAAUACAUACUUGGUACCAUACUUUUAGAAAAAUAUAUCUUAACAAUUACAAUGAAAAACAACUAACGCAAGACAUCUUUAGAGGCGCGUGAUUAGAAGAAUGAUACCAAUUGUAUAUAAAUAAACUAAAACAUAUAGCUUACAAAUGAAGCAAAAACAUGAAACCACCCACCAAUGGGAGUACUUUGUUUCUGUUUUUGUUUUUUUUAAGUUUUAAAUUUUAAAUUCAUUCAAAACUAAAAUAUGGUGAAUUACUUUUAUCUUCUUUUGGUUCAACUGUACUUUUUGAAAUUCUUAAAAGGCAAUAGGGUUUAAUGUGAACAUUAAACAUUGUACAUCGCGCAUAAUGCAUCAUAAUUAUAAAAAUGUUUUUGUAAAUAAAAAAAUUUCAUGCCCCACCGUACCACGUCGUAAUAUAAAAAUAAAAAAAAUAAAAAAAAUUAUAAAAAAAAAACCUUUCACAUGUGUAAGUAAUAAUUCAUGUACCUCAAGUUAUUAUUAGUGAAUAUCUUUUAUCUUUUAACUAUUAAUUUUCAUACAACAAUAACAACAAAGUCUUUUCCUACUAAGUGGGGUCGGCUAUAUGAAUCCUAGAACGCCAUUGCGCUCGGUUUUGUGUCAUGUCCUCCGUUAGAUCUAAGUACUCUAAGUCUUUUCUUAGAGUCUCUUCCAAAGUUUUCCUAGAUCUUCCUUUACCCCUUCGACCUUUGACCUCUGUCCCGUAGUCGCAUCUUUUAACCGGAGCGUCAAUAGGCCUUCUUUGCACAUGUCCAAACCACCGUAACCGAUUUUCUCUCAUCUUUCCUUCAAUUUCGGCUACGAUGGUUUGGACAUGUGCAAAGAAGACCUACUGACGCUCCGGUUAGAAGAUGCGACUAUGAGACAGAGGUCCAAGGCCAAAGGGGUAGAGAAAGACCCAGGAAAAUUUUGGAAGAGACACUAAGAAAAGACUGAGUACUUGGAUCUAACGGAUGACAUGACACAGAACUAAGCGCAAUGACGUUCUAUGAUUCAUAUAGCUGACCUUACUUAAUGGGAAAAAAAUUUGUUGUUGUUGUAUGAAAAUUAAUAGUUAAAAAAUAAAAGAUAUUCACUAAUAAUAACUUGAGGUACAUGAAUUAUUACUUACACAUGUGAAAGGUUUUUAUUUUUUAUUUUUUAUAUUACGGCGUGGUACGGUGGUGCAUGAAUUUUUUUUAUUUACAACAACAUUUUUAUAAUUAUGGUGCAUUAUGUUUAGGGCUGGAAAAAAAAUACCGAAAAUCCCAAACCAUACUGAAACCGAACCGAAAAAAUACCGAACCAAAAAUCCCGAAAAUUUUGAUACCAAAACCGAACUGAUCCCGAAUAUUUUGGUUUGGGAUUCGGUCUCACACUUUGAAUAAUUCGGUAUUCCCGAACCGAACUUUGCUAAUGUAACAUAUAUAUAUAUAUAUAUAUAUGUUAGUGUGUGGUGUGGUGCUGACAAAAGUAGGAUGGGUGUGUGGUGUGGUGAAGUAGGAUGGAUGGGUCAUGGGUGCUUGUUUUCUAUACAGAACUAUGUCUGUCUCUCUCUUAUUUUCUGUCUCAUCAGUCAUUUUUCUCGUAUUCUCUCUCUACAACCCAUAAACCACCUAACCCUUUAUCUUUCACUUAUUUUCCAUAUCUUCUCUCUCGUAUUGUCUCUCUCUCUCUCUCUCUCUACAACCCAGAAACCACCCCUACUCACUUCAAAACCGAAACCACCCUUCCUUCCACUCAAUCUAAAACCGAGCUGACAUCGUACUCUCUCAUUUCAUUUUGCCUUUCUCAUAUGCCUUCACUUAGUCUCAGACUCUUUCUCCUUCUCGGAUUCGAAGCUCAGCAGCCACCCACCGUUUAACAAUCUCACUCUGACGAACUGUCUCCACUCCAGCAACCACCACAUCUCACGACUUCAUCCCCACCUCUGGUUCUCUCAAGUGAUUCUCUGUGUUUGGGAUUUCGAAUUAAGGUUAGGGUUUCGAAUUGGGGCUUAGGGUUUCAAAUUGGGGGCUCGGGUCAGGACGAGGACGCAUGUCUCUCUCUUCACUCACCCUACCAUAAAUCUUCGCUAAUUCACUAUCACUACGUCUCUUAUUUCAAUUAGGAUUUUUAAUGGAGGUUCAGAUGAUUUCAAUUUCUAUCUAGAUGAUUUCAAUUAGGAUUAUUAAUGUUCAGAGUAUAUCAAAUUUUUAUUUUUUGCUUAUAGCUAUUUCGGUUUUACUAAAGUUACGUCAUACGUACCGAAUCAUUAAAUUUCACUUAGCAUAAUACAGCUCCCAGAUAUUAGCGCACACAAAUAUAUUAUUCAUACAAAGGGAACGAAACACAAAGUUACAUGUUUAACAGAAUACAUAAAAGACAGUGCUGGACGACUGCGUAUCACACAGCUGAGGUCACACACCAGGCACUACCUUAUUAUACACCAGACACAAAGUUACACGAGUAAAGAUGAUGAUCUACUUCUUGUGGCCGCCAGGAAGCUUCUCUUUGACCUUCUCCAUUAUGCCUUUCUUUUCCUGGUGCUCUCCUAUGUUCGCUGUCCCACCAUAAGUUGCAGCAGUAGUUGACGUGUCAUGAGAAUACUGGUUAUCCUUAUGCCCACCUGGCAGCUUCUCCUUUGUCUUGUCCAUCAUACCCUUCUCCUGGUGGCGCUCUCCUUCUCCAUCCUUGCUGCCACCAAAUGGCAGCUUAUCCUUUAUCUUGUCCAUUACACCCUUCUCCUGGUGGUGCUCGCCUUCUCCUGCAUAGGUGGUCCCACCGCCGUACUGUGCACCGGUGGUCGGCUUUGCAUGCAAGUACUGGUCAUCCUUGCUAGCACCGCCUGGCAGCUUCUCCUUUACCUUGUCCGUCACACCCUUUUUCUGGUGGUGCUCUCCUUCUCCUGCAUAGGUGGUCCCACCGCCGUAAUGUGCACCGGUGGUCGGCUUUGCAUGCGAGUACUGGUCAUCCUUGCUAGCACCGCCUGGCAGCUGCUCCUUCACCUUGUCCAUCACACCCUUCUUCUGGUCGCGCUCUCCUUCUCCUGCAUAGGUGGUCCCACCACCAUAAGGUGUAGCGGUCUGCGUUCCAUGAGAGUACUGGUCAUCCUUGUUACCACCACCUGGCAGCUUCUCCUUUACCUUGUCCAUCACACCCCUUUUCUGGUGGUGCUCUCCUUCACCUGUGUAGGUCGUCCCACCGCCGUAAGGUGUAGUGGUCUGCGUUCCAUGAGUGUACUGGUCAUCUUUGUUACCACCACCUGGUAGCUUCUCCUUUAUCUUUUCUUUUAGUCCCUUCUUCCUUCUUCCACCUAGCCCAUCAUCUUCAGACUACAAUAAUAGAAUGUUAGACCUUGUUACAAAAAAUAUAUGUAAAUAUAAUGCACAUAUCAUACUUAUAACCCUAAGAAAUUGUUCCAUCUGGUAAGAUAACAUGUUGAUGUAAUAUUUGAAUUUGAAACAUUGAUCGUGUUGAUAAUUGAAAAAACAAAAUGCGCAGAGAUGCAUAAAUCUAACAAGGGAACAAAAUACACUAAUUUUCCGAACAAUAUUCUUCAAGAUACGAAUUUGUAAUAUGUUAUUAAUUUAGAUCACUAAUGAGCCCAUCGUUGGUGCGCGCAAUUUUUCUUGCAAAAAUGUUAAAUUUGACAAUAGAAAAUUAUUACUUCUUUGAUUUUUCUAGCAACAUAAGUACCUCUUACAAGAAAAGUUUAUUCAUAGUACGCAUAGAUUUGUAGCAUAUCUCAUGCAUCUAAUGAAUUAACUUAGAACUACAUUUAUAUAGAGGUGAAAAGAGGAGAACUUACAGAGCUAGAGCUUCCGGAGCGCUGAAGUACGGCAGGGCCGCCAUGACGUCCAACAAUCACUUCAUCACCAGGCUUGGCAUGAGCAGUCCCGUAGCCAGUAUCAGUCCGACCGUGUUGAACCACGUUCCCUAACUCGUCGGUCCUACCGGCUCCUGCACUACCGUUAUAAGUCGGGUUCCCGUAGUUCUCGUUAGUUUUUUCGGGUGUUGAACCAUAAUUCGCCAUUUUUCAAAAGAACAACAAACAGAUUAACUGUAGUAACAAUGUUUUGCGACUAAUACAACAAUUGCAGUGAGAUAUUAGUGAUUUGCUUGGGAUGAUGUGUUUGAUUAGGAGUUGGGUUGGUUGGUUUAUAUAGACAACUGAUUUGCACCAGCAAGGCAUGCAGAUAUAGCGGUGAGCGUAAGGCAUUUUAACAACUUGGAGACAUGGCACUGCUGGGAAAAUGAUGACAAGUGAAAAUUAACGUCGGCAAGAUAUUUUGUUGCUUUUUGGGUGGGGGGUGGGGGGUGGGGGCAUAUGGAUAAAGAGAGAUGAAUACCUGUUUGAACUUUGAACAAUAAAAAAGAAAACGAUACGAAUACCUGCUCCCCUGGUGACCAUGGGAUUGGUGACACGUGCCCUCUGUACUUGUUCCACUAGCUAGCUCCCACGUGGGUAGUAUCUAUUGGUUUUAGCCUAGGUCUUAUUGACUGGUUGGUAAUUUGGUAUAUCUACUGGUCAUAAACUUGUAGAUCUUCUAGGUCUUACCGACAUGCUAUAAGUUAAAAGGAUAAUCUUAUAGAGACUAAAAUUAUAGAAAAAGUGUGGAAAUUAAAUAAUAUGAAAAUUAAUAAUAUUUAUUAUUUAAAUAUUAAUAAAUGUGUUUAUUUUUUAUUCGUGACAUAUUAUUUAAUUUGUAAAUUUUAUUUCUAAAUAUAGUUUCUCUAAGAUAUUACCCUAUAAGUUAUAUUGUCGUUUUAAUUUUUCUUUUGAUUAGAACAACCCAGACAUUAAUAAAAAGAAUCCUAUGUCGACAAACUCCACACCUUUAAAUCUUCUGCUACACACAAAUUUUCUACACUUCAAAAUAAAAGUAGGUCACAUAAUAUUACGAUUUAUUGGAAUUUUAUUUUAUUUAUAUAUGAAAGGUCUAAAGUUUGAUUUUCAUAAAAUAACGAAUUUGAACCAUAUUAUUACUAGUCCAAGGUUAAGCCUGUACUUUCACUUUUAGUGUAGAUAAUAUGAUUUGUUGAAAAACAAAUAAUGUUAAAAAUUAAUUUCAAGUGUAAUGUUAGAAAGACCACCUUUUUAUAUUAUGUAUCACAUAUUAAAUAAAAUUAAUUAAUUAACUUGACAUGUUCGAUCACUUGUUACAUUAUGUAAUACACAAGAUUAUACAAAGAUAUCUCCUUAGCAUUUUCUUUGACGCAAAUGUGUUUUAAAUAGAAUUAUUUUUCAAGCAAAUUACUAUUCAUUCGAAAGUAGCUCGUCCAUUUUACUUGCUAGAACUAUUUCUCUUGAAUAUACCCUUCUUCAAUUUUCACUCUCUACUGUCUACAUUUAAGCGUGGAUUACAAAGUCCUCUAUGAUGAAUGAUGAUCACUGUUAGAUUAAGAUUGAUUCGAACCAUCUUCGUUUUUAUCGCAUGUAGUCUAUAAGAAAGCAAUUUUUAAUUGUAAUUAGAAUAGAACUACUACCUAAAAAUGGAUUUGAUUAAACCAUAAACAGAGGUGAUACUCUCUACAUCUAAUAGGUUAUACACAUUAAUUUGCGCUAUAUCUUUGAAGAGGUUGCUUACGAUUACCGUGCCCGACCUAUACAUAAAGGAAGUCUUGCCAUCAAAAUUAUAAAAAAAAUAUUGACUUUGCUGGAGAUGUAUCCCUUGUAUGGAAUUUAAUGAUAUUUUAUGAGUUUCGACUUUGCCGGAGAAUGAUUAUCCCUCCUCUAGAUUAUGCUCCAUUUCAGUGGAGGCGUAGUAAAAUUUAUAGAAUUGGAUGUUUAUUUAACUUAUCUUUUGGUACAGUAAGAUUUUCAAUCAAAGAACGCCUAAACAGAAACCAGAAUGUAAUUGCUCCACUGAUAAAACGACAUACAAAGUACAUACUACAAAAACACAAACGACACUGCGAACCGCUCGCGGCUCACUCGUGCACGUAAGAAAAAAGUUCACACAGUCACGCCAAGCACCGAUUAUUAGCAUAUUAAAACAACUGACAGGCCCUAUAAUUCAAAUAUACGAAUUCACAGAUAUGCGUAUAUUUGUAUUUAGUGGUGUCCACCGGGAAGUUUUUCUUUGAUUUUGUCCAUGAUGCCCUUCUUUUCAUGGUGCUGUCCGGUGGUUCCACCGUAUGGUGUGGUGGUGGAGUGGUGCUGUCCGGUGGUUCCACCGUAUGGUGCUGUGGUGGAGUGGUGCUGUCCGGUGGUGGAGUGGUGCUGUCCGGUGGUUCCACCGUAUGGUGCUGUGGUGGAGUGGUGCUGUCCGGUGGUGGAGUGGUGCUGUCCGGUGGUUCCACCGUAUGGUGCGGUGGUGGAGGUCGUAUGUGAUGAGUAGGCAUCAUCCCUAUGCCCAGUCCCCGGAAUCUUGUCCUUGAUCUUGUCCGCAAUCCCCUCAUGCUGGUGCUCUCCGGUGUAGGUUGUCCCACCGUAAGGUGUAGGAUGGUCCGUACGGCCCCCAGUCCCUGGAAUCUUGUCCUUGAUCUUGUCCAUCAACCCCCUUUCACGGUACUCCCCUCCGGUGGAGGGGGCGGCAGUAGUCCCGUACCCAGUUCCAGUCGUGCCAAUACCGGUAUGGGCAUGCGAUGAGUAGUGGUCGUCAGCCCUACGUGCCCCACCAGUCCCUGGAAUCUUGUCUUUGAUCUUGUCCAUCAUCCCUCUUUUCUGUUGCUGCUGGCCUCCUGUGUACGUAUCGUUAGUAGUCCCGUACCCGGUUGUGGCGGUACCGAAGCCAGUGGCUCCGGUAGUGCCAUGUUGAAUUGGGUUUCCAAACUGAUCUGUUUCUUGGGGUGUUGCACCGUGUUGGUUCUGAUAGUGCGCCAUUGUUUCAAACUGAUUGCAAUUUGAUGAAAUAUUUCCGACUAAUUUGAUCUCAGAUGCGGAUGCUUAUAUAGGCAAACCGCGUAGAAAAGCAUGUCAUGCACUAGAGUAAAUCCAUGCCUUCAUGCCACGUUAGCAGCUGAGGACACCUGGCAGUUUUUAUGACGACACGUGUAGUGUGUUAGAGUCGAACAAAAUAAGAUCCAUUCUUUUGUCGUCAAGCUGAAGGCUCGUGACGGUUCCACCGCGUCCAUAUGCGAUAGUUGGGGACUAGCUUACGUCCGUACAUCAAAAUCCGUCGUGUAUUGAAACUGGGGAAAUUUUUAUUGUUACAUGAACACGGACGGUACAUUACGUUUUUUUUAUGUAAGUGGUGAGAAAUUUUAUUUUUUAAAUUAUUAACAUUUUAACACACAUGUCAUACCAUAUGUAAAAUGACACGUGAUGUACUAUUUUGUCUGCCAGUCAUACUAAAAAAUAUCUCUUGAAACUGGGAUGGUGAGACGUGUCAGAUUUCGACACGUGUUGGUAUUUGGUUAAUCUUGAUCUUAUUUUUACCGACUUUAGUAACUGGAUAGGUGCCGAGGAUUUUAUCGUUUAUCGGGUCCCACGUCAAUAGAUAUUUUCCAUUGGUUCGUAAGCACUACUGAACCGGCCCAAUUUCAGCAAGUUGUGGUAGCCCACAUACGGGUCCAAUAGGCCUUGUCUGUGGCAUAGUGAUAUUGGGCUGAUCACCAUUUGUUGAGUGGAUUCGGAAAAUCUGCUACGUGAUACGAAAGAUGAAUUUUUAAGGCUUAUUUAAGCCCACAACUCUCGAAAAUCAACUUUAUUCUCACAAUUCAAAAUGUGUUUUAGGGAGUUUUAACGAAAAGUUCAUGGUAUUGUUCACUUUAACGAAAAAUUAUAUUUUUACACUAAAAAGUCAAACCUGCUAAUAUUCACUUUACCCUUUAUUUUGUCCUUAUAGUUAAAACUCAAAAUUUUCAAACCCUUUUCAUUAGUUUUUCUUAAUUUUUAUUCACUUUACCUCAUCCCGUCACAUCCGUCAAAAUUAUUUUGAAAGGCGGCUCUUCUACGGUGGAUCCCGAUUGCUAAUUUUGGUAUUUGAUUGAAUAUUAAGGUAUGGGAUACAUCAUACGAUGCUGCGGUUGCCCAAAGUUUUGGGUGUUCCAACAAGAUGAGCAGACCCCAAUCUGGACCUUCAUCUGGCUUGAAUACGAAGACGGUAGAUGCAUAUUUUUCUGUUCAUUUUUUUCCUCCUUUUUUACAAGCUUCAGAGCUUCUUCUAGGGAACUAGUAGCAUUUCCCAUCCGUACAGGUCUUCCUCUUGCAGUUUUUUUUAGUACGUCAAUAUUUUUAUACUAAGGGAAAGGGGAGUUCGGCUAAGUCACAUAAUGAGCAGUCUAAUUUGGUAUCGAAUUCACGAGAUUCGAACCUAAGACAUCUCACUUCUAAGUGAAGAGGAAUAUCACCAGAUCAUAGUAUUUAGUGGCCUCUUGCAGUUUUGGAAGCUUAAUUUUACGAUGUUUGGGAUACCCCUUCACAGCCUUUAGGGGAGUAUACUUGGAGGUUGUUUUGCUUUCUGUAUUAAUGUUAUUUCCUGUCCUUAGUGUAAAACUAUAUUGAUGCACUAAAAAAAAUGUUAUUAAAAGGGUAUGAAGAUCCUCUUGGGAUCCCUUUAUCGUAUCCGUUCAUCAUAUAUCGUGCGGCCAAUUUUCUUUAGGUACUGUUUAUGUUCAAUUUUAAAUAAAAAAAAUCAAAUAGAUUUAUGGUCACAUGAUGACAGAUGAACGGACAUGAUGAAGUGUUCCUUAGGAUCUUCACUAAGAGGAUCCGAAUAGGACCCUAUUCCAUUAAAAGGGAAUAUGAACAAACAAACGGUUUUUGAAAUUAUAACUUAUAUAUGUUAGGAAGUUUCAAAUUGAAUCUCUGGUCCAAUUUUGAGUGUGAAAAUAAUUUUUACACUCUUUUUCUUCGUACUCAAGUGCUCUAAGUUUAUUUUUUUUGUUUGAUUCUGUUUUGAUUGGUUCAAUCUAAAUGUUAAAAGGAUAAUACUAGAGAGACCAAAUUUAUAAACCAAAUGAUGUGGAUGUUGAUGAUUGAAUUAUUACUUAAGUGUUAAUAUACUUAUUUCCUAUUAAUAACACAUCAUUUGAUUUGCAAAUUUGGUUUAAAAUUUUAGUCUUCCUAACAUUAUUCGUAUUAAAAAUAAAUACGAGAGUGCAUAAAUCACUUUUUUUUAGUGGUUCGGUUCACAUUUUUCCAACAAGAUCCUCUCUGGAUUCUUUUGGUGAGGAUCCUAGGGAUCCGUAAAUCAUGUCCGUUCAUCAUACAUCGUGUGAUCAGUUUUUGUCAGGUAGUGUUUGUAUUUAAUUUUUAAUAAAAAUAUUUAAAAUGAUUUCUAACCGUACGAUAUACGAUGAACAGAUAUGAUUCACAGAUCUUUGGAAUCUCACAAAAAGGAUCCGAUUUCCACAUUUUUGGCACCUAAAACAAAGAAAUGACACCAUCCAUCUCUUUUCCAAAGUAGAAUCAUAAUCACCAUAGGAGUUGAUUACUUAUCAAUUUAUUGAAGAAGAUGUCAAUGUUUCCUUGCAUCCAAAGAUUUUUAAUAUAUAAGCCGCGAUGGUCAACUCAGGUGGCGAGCGAGAGUGAAGUAAUGGGUUAGAAUUGAGCAAGAGUAAAGUAAUUAAUUGGUUAAGAUCAAAAUACACAAUUUUUGUUUUCAAUAUAUGAACUACUCAUUAGUACGAAAAAUUAACGUUUAUGAUUGUAUGAUAUAUUAUUUUUACUUAAUUGCCAGUCUAAUUGAUAUAAAACCAGACAGCCCAAUAAUCUGAAUUAUCGAAGACUUACCCAAAAAUAAAGUAUAGGUUUCAACUCGUUCCAAUGUAAAAAACAAAUGUGCACUAUACAUGACGUCCCUUUGAAAGGCAAUAAACUAGGUAAAAUCUAGUUGAAGACAAGUCCUCACUCAAAAGAGGAAAGAAGAAAAAAAGAAAGGCAUGUCAAGCCAAUAAUUAAUUUAUUAGGUACUCCAAAGAUGAUCAAAGCCUAAUCUUAAUCGAGAAUUAAAAAAACCCUAAACACGCUUUGGAUUUCGCUUAUUAUAAUUAAAACUUUCUUGCUCAUGUGAGCAUUGGUGUCAUAAUUGGUUGGCCACAUGCUCUUAUCAACCUAUCAAUUAAGAAUAACUAAUUAUCAUGCUUAGCCUUUCUUUUCCAAAUGAUGUAGUGGGCGGCAACUAUUGCCUUGGCUGGGCCCCAUGGAUAGCGAGAUUUUACAAUAUAUUCAGAAUAUGAGUGGUAUGUCAUAUGUUAUUAUAGAAGUGCAAGAAUUUUUUUUAAGCGUUUAUCCACUUGUAUUCAAAUACUAUUUACUUCUAACAUCACAAGCCUUAUUUAUUCAUAUUGAAAAAAAAAAAAAAAAAAAAAAAAGCUCUCCAUUCUCUGUCGCUGAAAACACAAAGGAAAAGUCAUAGUCGCAGGCCCUAAGCCUUUUAAGCUUGGGUGCCGACAGCAACCCCCUCCCUUUUCUCCUACUUCCCUCUUUCUCUUCUUCCCUCUUUCUCUUCUUCCCUUUUUCUAUCUUUUCAUUUUUCCUUGAGUUUUAUCCCAAACUUUUUUAGCUUGGUCUCUAUUUAUUCUUGUGCUUAUCUCAGAUUUGAGCUUCAUGCUCCUUCUUAGGCAUUUUUCGCCACAUCCCUAGCAUUUUUCGUCGGUUUGCACUGCCUUUUAUUUUUUAGUUUUCCUUCCUCCAUCUCCUCUGGCUGUAACGUCCUGCCCCCAAAAUAUAUAUUUUCGGGAAAUAAUUCUAAUGAUGGGCCCAAUUAAACUCUUGUUUAUUUAACUACCAUUAAUCGUGAUUCUUUAAUUAAAUGCCUUAAUUCCACCCAUGAUUUAAUUCCAGAAUUCUCUCACCAAGACAUAUGAUUAUAUUCUCAAUUUAUCACCAUUUUCUUUUCUUAUGUUAAUUUCCAUUCUAAAGAUUAAGGAGGUGUAUUCAAUUGGGAAUUUGAGGCAUUUUAAUUCUUUUAAUGAAUCUAUGGGUAUUCAAUCAGGGUUUUAUGUGAUUCUCUGAAAUUCAAGGUGUAUUCAAUUAGAAUUUUAAGCUAGUUUAUUAAAAUCCUUAGAAAUCCGGGUGUAUUUAAUUAGGAUUUUAAAAAAGUUCAUAACAUUCUAGGUGUAUUCAAUUAGAAAUUGAUUUUAAAGAAUUUGAGAAAGUUGAAGAAUUAGAGGGAAUUAGAUAAAUUUCGUAGUGUAUUUUAAGCAUCCACAAAUCUCACCUCUCCCGAUGAGAUUUCGAGGGAAUUGAAUUAAAAUUUUAUAUAGAAUCUCUACAAAUCAAUUAAACUCCAUAAAAAUCCAUAGAUUUAUAAAUCCAUUAAAAUCUCUCAAAUUCUCAAUUGAAUACACCCCCCUAAUUCUUGAUUAUUUAAGGCUGCAUCUAACACUGUUAGACUACUUACGUACCCUUGAGCGGGAUCAAGUCUUUCGUAGUUCACAAUUCAUUCUUUUAUCCAUUACCGAAUUCAUAUUGACCAAAAGUCAACUCUUGAUCAACAGUAGGGUCCACAUGUCACAUCCCCGCCCGGGCCCGAUGUCCUCGUCGGCACACUUCCGACCAGGGAUUGGCUCUGAUACCAUUUGUCAUAUCCCAGCCCGGGGCGGACCACUUCCCGAGCCCAUUCCACUACCGUAACACGAUAUUAUCUGCUUUGGGUUUACCAUUCCCUCACGGUUUUGUUUUUGGGAACUCACGAGCAAUUUCCCAGUGGGUCACUUAUCCUGGGAGUGUUCUGGCCUCCUUCUCGCUUAUAUCCAAAAUGCAACUGUAAUCAACAUAAGCAACAACGAUGUACACAGUUCACAUCAACAAGAAGAAAAAAAAAAGCUAAAAUUUACAAUAACUUGGUCUUAAUACUAGCUGGAGAUUAAACAAGAUGCUUAUUAUAUAUACUAUGCAUACGAAACAUGAACCUGCAGCUUCAGUUCCAGCAACUUCCAAGCGCCCAGAUCAGAUAUUGAACCCUCCCAGAUCGCAAUUGGGUGAAAAAUUACACCGCAUACCAGAUAUUCGAGGUUGUUGUAGAAGAGGGUGUGCUUGUCCAGCAGGAUCAAUUGCACCAAAGAGUGGAAAACGGUCAUAAUCUCUACCAAUUAUUCCACCAAUCCUUGGAGGUACAAACGGGUUAGGGUUCCUCCUGAUACGGUUGAAAUAAGGCCUCUCAAAUGAUCUCCACGUCACUACUGCUUUCAUUUGUUGCUUCCUAGUCUCCCAAUUUCCAACAAAUCUAAACUUCCAAUUAGUCACUGUUCCUUCACCUCCGGUUCCUUCUCCUCCAUUACCAUUACCGAACUCAUCAGCGUACUUCUGCUUCCACAACUCAUCAUUAUUACCAAGAUUUUGCAGCUCAUUACAAACACAACCCACCUUGGCAAUGUUAACACCAACCAGUGGCUCUAGAAUCUUCAUUUUGAUCUCCGGUGGAAGGCGCAUAAGGCUUGGUGGUGCAAGCAAACUAGCAUUUGCGCAAAGAUCAAUCAGCAAUGGGAAUGUGAUCCCAUCUUUCACAAUCUUCGAUAACUCUAAAACGAACCCAUCUCUGUCAUUGAAAUUUUAGGUUCCAUAAACGAAUUCAAUCGUUUGCGCGAAAGCAAUCUCAGGAUAGGUGACCCACCGAGAAGUUCUCGUGUGAGUUCCAAAAAAUAAAACCGUGAGGGCGUGGUUGGGGCCCAAAGCGGACAAUAUCUUGCUACGACGGAGUCAUGCCCGGGAUGUGGUGGGGGCCCGUGCCAGAAUGUGACAAAUGGUAUCAGAGCCAAUCCCUAGCCGGAAGUGUGUCGACGAGGACGUCGGGUCCGGGAUGUGGUGGACCCGGGCCGGGAUGUGACAAAUGGUAUCAGAGCCAAUCCUUGGUCAGAAGUGUGCCGACAAGGACGUCGGGUCCCUAAGGGGGGUGGAUUGUGACAUCCCAAAUCGCCCAGGAGAGUGAUCCUUAAAUGUAUAUUCUCAUCCCUACCUAGCACGAGGCCUUUUGGGAACUUACUGGCUUCGGGUUCCAUCAUAACUCUGAAGUUAAGCGAGUUCGCUCGAGAGAAAUCCCAGGAUGGGUGACCCACUGGGAAGUUCUCGUGUGAGUUCCAAAAAACAAAACCGUGAGGGUGUGGUCGGGGCCCAAAGUGAACAAUAUCUUGCUACGGUGGAGUCAUGCCUGGGAUGUGGUGGGGGCCCAGGCCGGAAUGUGACAAAUCUUUCUUGCUUAACUUCGGAGUUCCUACGGAACCCGAAGUCAGUGAGCUCCCAAAAGGCCUCGUGCUAGGUAGGGAUGAGAAUAUACAUUUAAGGAUCACUCCCUUGGGCGAUGUGGGAUGUCACACCACAAUUCUACAUAAUUUGAUCUGAAAGAUCCACUGUAACAUCCCACAUCGAUCAACGGAGAUGGGUGAUAUGCCUUAUAUGUGCAUGCCCACCUUCUAUAGCACGAGGCCUUUUGGGAACUCAUUGGCUUUGGGUUCCAUCGGAACUUCGAAGUUAAGCGAGUUCGGACGAGAGCAUUCCCAGGAUGGAUGACCCACUGGGAAGUUCUCACGUGAGUUCCUAGAAACAAAACCGUGAGGGCGUGGUCGGGGCCCAAAUCGGACAAUAUCGUGCUACGGCGGAGCCGAUUUGGGAUGUGACAGAAUGGCAUUAGAGUCACUAUGUUGUUCGGUGCGAGUGUGCCGACGAGGACAUCAAGCCCCUAAGAGGGUGGAUUGUAACAUCCCACAUCGACCAACGGAGAGGGGGUGAUGUGCCUUAUAUGUACAUGCCCACCUCCUAUAGCACGAUGCAUUUUGGGAACUCACUAGCUUUGGGUUCCAUUAGAACUUCGAAGUUAAGCAAAUUUGGAUGAGAGCAUUCCCAAGAUGGGUGACCCGCUGGGAAGUUCUCGCGUGAGUUCCCAGAAACAAAUCUGUGAGGGCAUGGUCGGGGCCCAAAACGGACAAUAUCAUGCUACGGCGGAGCCGGUCUAGAAUGUGACACUAGUCGUGCUUUUCCUUCCUCUCCUUUGCUUUCGAUCCUCUUUCCAACCCAUAAUCAUGAACUAGAUCUCAAAGUGUUGAACUCAAUCUUAACACAAGACCUUACACUCAUAGUCCACUGCUGAACUAGCAUGCCGAGAAUUUUGGGCAAAUGUGGAAAGAUUCACUUCGAAACAAAGGUGUAGCUCUCAUUUUGGGCCUAAGUUCUUGUGGGCCUCCCGUUGGAUCUUAAGUUGUAACUCUCAUUUUACUUGAGCCUUUUUACUCUUUUAUCCCUUUUUGUUUUUUUAAUGGUUUUGUGUUUUGUUUGAACUUUAGUCCAUCUACCGCAUUUGUAAUUUUUCCUGUCUUUAAUGAAGUUUGUUUUAUCAUAUCUUGUUUUGUUUUGUUCAAGCGAUAUGUAGAGAAGGAACAUAAUAUGGUAAAUAGCUAGUGUUCUUAAUACGAUAAAUUUUUAUGGUUAUUAGAAAGACAAAUUAUGUGGUGUAUAAUUUUAUAUGUUAUAAUAAGGAUGUGUUGUAGGAUUCAUAUGUUCCAUUUCUAGAAUAAAUUAAGAAUAAAUAGAGACACUUAUUUACAAUUCAAGUAUAACAAUAACAUCGCAUAGCUGUGUUUCGAAUACAUCAAAAUAUUACUUUCUUAACGCAACUAAGAUAUCCAACCAACAAUAACAUGCUUGUAAUAGUAUACUAGUAGUUAGCUAGCUGGUAAUUAACUGGGAGUCUGAUAAUUAACUAUAGCUAGCUGAUAAUUAACUAAAUUAUGGCACAUCUUCUCUGACUUUAAUAUUAAGACUUUGGUCAAUGUGACAUUUUUGUUUCAUUUCUCAUGGCCUGAUAAAAUAAAAAUGUGAUUCCUGCUUGAUAAACUUUCAAUUUUAUCUUCUAACAUGACCAUUUUUUGCUUUUUAAAAGAGAAUAGUUCAUGUGACAUGUGAGGACUUGUUAACUAUUGACUGUAGGGUAUCCUUAAAUAUUAUAUUUUAUUCUUCAUAUAAAAUGACUGGAUAAAAGCCACCCAUUUUGUGUGCGUUUAAAUAUAUGAGAGGUCUUAGGUUUGAUUUUCGCUAAAAAUGUGAAUUUGAACCACAUUAUUGCUAGUCUAUUGUGAUGCUUAGCCCAUUUCUACAGUCCUUUAACGUAGAUAAUACAAUUUGUUAAAAAAAAAAAGACAAUUUAAAAAGGAAUUUGAAUAAAAUUAAAAUUAAUAAAUAGAAAUGUAGGAAGUGAGAGAAAGAAAGUGGAGAAGUAAAACUAUGGUUAUGUGUUAGUGGGAGAAGGAGAAAAACAGCAAAAACUUAAUUGUUUUGAAGUUACUUUAAUACUCAUAUUUUUUAUUUUCUAAUAUUUUCGUUCAAUUAUGUAUAAAAUGGUAUAACAGUAAUUUUAUUGAUUUUUAGUUGAUAAACAUGUUCUAUUUAAUAUAGUUUAGAUUAAGGAUAGUGCUAUUUUUUUUUAAGAAAAAGGAUAGUGUUAUUAGCACAUCCAUUUUUACAUUCCACAUACACUUAUUCAUUUUUUCUAUUGAUAUUCUUCAAUUCAUUCGGUCAAAUGACCGAAAAUUGGGAAGGAUGUAUGAAAAAUAAAACUGAGUGUGGGGAUAGAACUAACCUAGAUUUGUGUUUUAAUCAUGGCCUAUUUUUAUAAAUUAAUGUCCAUUGAUAUAUCUAAAGAGCUUCUUAAAAAAUAUAAAAAAAAUAAAAAUAAAAACUUUAGAGUCCACUAAAUUUGUCUAACCUUUAUCAUCCAAGUUCCAACUUUGAAAACCACACAAAAUUCCAGCACACAAUAUGCCAACAUUUUUAAUUUCUAAGAAAAUAAAAUAAAGUAUAUGCCAACAUUAUUGACACGGGAAAUUUAAAUAAAAAAUGUAUUGCCUAAAAAAAAAAGAAGCAAAAUGUAUACAAACAAGAAGUAUUUUAUUAAAUAAAUUGGCAACAAAACCAGAAGCCAAAAGGAAAACGGAAGUAUCGCUUACACAUCCUUACAUGUUCAACAGUAAAACAACAACCCAUGACCUACCCAUCAAUCAUUGUACGAACAAAUUUACAAAAGCCAUGGAUGUUCUAAGUAGUUAAAACUUACACCUCAAUUAAUUUCACUAAUCUCUCACUUAAUCCAUGAUUAACCCGACUGAGUUUAGCACAUAAACAUGUCUGCAGAGGCCAUGAUUGGUUGAUUAUUCAAAAAGCCAGUACCCCAUGGGUUCAGAAACCCAUCACCUCCACCAAUAAUAUUAUGAUUAUCUUCUUCCUCAUAGAUCCAUUUGCUUGAAUUAAUACAAUCCAUAAUAUCAUUGAGAGACUGCAAUCUGUUUGUGAGCUCAUCCAUCUGAGCUCUGAGGACUGAGUUUUCUGCCUCGAGCUUCAUGUAAAGCUGGUUGGUCACGUUCAUGGAUGUGAUGAUCUGGUUGUUAUCCCUUGUCAGGAGACCAAUCUGAGCCGUCAGAUCAGUCAGAUGCUCCUGUUUUCGCAUCCGGGAUCGACGUGCCGAUUCCCGGUUGGACAGCAUUCUUUUGCGCUUUCUCUGGUCCAUGACUUGGUUAAGAUCUUCAUCAGAUCCUGAGUUUUGGAGCUUGCUUGACUCUGAAGAAACCCCACUUGAAGAAGCCAUGUGUGAAAUACUUAUAUGCUUAUAAAAAACCAAAAAAAUCUAAACUUUUCUCUUACCCAAGAAAGUUAAAGAGUUAUUAUUUGAAGAACGCAGAUGCUAGAUUUAAAAAAUAAUUAAGAAAAAAGUAAAAAUUGUUUAUAAAAUGUUGUAAAACCAGUAGAGGAAAACAACAGAGAAGGAUUGGACAAGGUGGGUUCUGCGAAGGAGGGUGGAGUUUAUCAUACACCCAGAGAGCAGGAUUUCACUGAGUACCGGAAACAUGAUUAAAUCUGUAGGUUUGUAUAUUAAGCAUUGGAGACAAAGAAGAAGAACAAAUGUUAUGAACUUUGAAGCAGAAACAAGGUUUUCAGAACCGGGAGAGAGGUUAUGAAAUUUGAAGCAGACACAAGGCGUUCAGAACCAGGAGAGGAGAGAGAAGAGAGAGAAAGAGAUCAAAUUCUUGGGGUAGGCAGGAAAGAUAAUGGAGAGGAGGUUUUGAAGAGUGGUGGAGGGUUGAAUAUAUAGGCCAGCAAUGGCCACCUAAAAUAUAUAAACUACCAAAAACAAUUUAAGAACAUGUCUGAUUGUCUCAUAUAAUAUAAUUAUGAGGAAAAAGCAAUAACAUAGAAUGUGACUCUUAAUGGCCAAGUCCUCAGUAUUUGAAAAGUUCACAGUUGCAUAUCGGAUAUGUAUUCUCCAAAGAGUCAAUAUUUUCCACCGAUUUUUGUACCACACAUUCAGUAUGAAAUGGUUAGGAUAAACUUGUAAACUGAAACGUCUUAAGAGAAACUGUGUCUCUCAUCUCAUCUUAAGAUUAUGUAACAAUCAUCCCUGAAUUAUAUAUUGAUAUAUAACUUGAGAAAUACUUUCUUUAACCAAUGCUAUAAUUAUGGAUUAUUGUUACAAUUAAGCCUAAAUUAUUAUGUAACAAUAUAAGUUAUAACAUGUAAGCAUUUCCUUGAAGCAGCUAUGAAUCGUAAAUCUUUGCAUAAUAAAAAUAGACGAAUUGUGAUUACCAAAUGAUUAAAAAAUGCAUGAUCACUCAUCUUUAAAUUUGAUAUUAAAAAUAAAAAAUGAACAUGUUUUUAUGUUUUUAACAUAAGAUGAUAUUUUUUUCCCUCAAGAAUCCAUCAUAUAGUGGACAAGUGUUGCAAAAUUAGGUUACACCAACCAAAAGUCGCACAAGAGUCUUGUGCUAACAUAGUUCUGACUUGCUGUUCUUGUUGAAUCCCAACACCAACAGUACAUGGGCAUGCGCAUGUGGUCAGAAUUCUGAGAGAUGGUCCCUUACAAUGGAAAAUGAUCAUUGUCGGAUCUUUUUUUUCUAAGGAUUCCGUGAUCGUGAUUGUUUAUCGUAUAAUGUGCGAUCAGUUUUUGUUAAGUACUAUUUAUAUUUAAUUUUAAAAUAAUUUCUAACCAUAUAAUAUACGAUGAACGAUCACAAUUACAGAAUCUUUAAAUCCUCAAAAAAAGGAUCCGACGAGAAUCUUUUUCCCCUUCCAAUUAAUGAAUAAUACGAAGGGUAACGUCUUUCACAGGUUAGGCCCCAAAACCAGUGGUCAUUGGCUGCCCAGCGAUGGAGAUGCGUUUCAUAAAAAGAAAAAGUCAAAAAAAAUAUAGCCACUCGAGUCCUUGUCAAGUUGUUCUCGUGCCCUCGAGGAAUGCUCAAAUUACUUUUGAAUAUGCCGUGCUCGAGGGCACUAGAAGCUUCUAAUUAAAAUCUUGAUGGUUUUGGUUUUCAGUCAAUUCUCAUGUUUGAUGUUUGUAAUUUUAUUUGAGCAUGAAUUGCAUGUUUUAGAUAUUUAAGAUUUUAGGUGACCAAUUUUGUUUGUUCUAUAAACAAUAAUCUCCUUAGGACUUUGAAAUUUUGAAUUUGGAAAACACAUAUGAUUUAUUGGACCCUUCCUCAACUUUGAUUGGUAAUUGAGGUCUACCCCAUUUAACUUGUUAUACGCUCACAUACAUACAUACAUACAUACAUACAUACAUAUAUAUAUAUAUAUAUGGUGGGGAGGAAGAGAGAGAGAGAGAGAGAGGAUAUUCCACUUUUUGUAUGCCAUGUGCUUAAGAUUUAGGUAAUCUUUCAUUUAAAGAUGCCAGCUCCAGUUACUUUUCCCCAAGCACACUUUUCAUAUUCAACACUGAACAAAAGGCAAUAGUAAGUACUGGUGUUUUUUUUAUAAAAAUGCGUAUAAAAAAAACAGAGCUAAAAAAGAUGUUUGGUAAAUAUUUAAAAAUAAUUUAUUUUCAUAGUUUUGAGUAAAAAAAAGCUAAAAACGCGAAGCAGCAAAAAUGAGUUUAUUCUCACAAUAUAGCAGAAACAAUUUUUUUUUCAAAGUACAGCAAUACCAAACCAGCCUGUUGACUUUCACACUACAAAUUUAAAGGGGGCAUUUUUCUCCUCCAUUAUAAACUAUGGUGUAUGCUUAUUUUACAGUUAAUAAUCUACCACGUGUCCUUUUAUUUGGCCUUGAUUAAUUUUUUUUUCAAAAUUAAAAAAAAAAAUUAAUGUGAAAGUAACUAAAGUUAAGUGAAAUGACACGUGACAGAUGAUUAAGUGUAUGGUGAGCAUACACUAUGAUAGUGAGAAAAAAUUGUCCCAUAAAUUUAGGGUGGCAUUUUUGCUCAAUGCCAUAACUAUGUUGUAUGCUCACUAUACACUUAAUCAGUUGUCAUGUAUCUUUUCACCUAACUCUAGUUAAUGUUCACAAUAAAUGUUACUUUUUCAAUUUUGAAAAAAAUUAAUCAAGGUUAAUUGAAAGGACACGCGACAAAUGAUUAAGUGUAUGUUGAGUAUACACCAAAAUUUAGAGCGUUGAGCACAAAUAUUCCUAUAAAUUUAGCGUGCAUGGCACUGUUUUUUUCUGUAUAGAAAAAUUCUGAAACAAGUGAAAUGCCAAGGAGACUUUCAAAAUGAGACUCUCUAUAGAAUCUCUGACAUCUCAUAUUUUAAUAUCAAUUUUCAUGCUAACAUUAUAAAUAUUAUGCUAAAAGCAUGAGAUAGCAAAAAGUACAUGAAAAAUCAUACUUUUGAAAGACUCAUGCAUAAAACAAAUCAUUUAUAGUGUGAGAAGCUAAAUUGACAGUACCAAAAUCGCUGCCGAAUCUAAAAGCCAGUGAAAUCAUAAGCAACUCAGGGCAUAUUUGAAGUCUUUCUUGGACCUUAUUUUUCGUUAAAGUGAACAGUACCAAAAUUUUUUCAUUAAAGUUUUCUAUGAAAAAAGGAUAUGGUAUUGCAAGUUGCCGUGGAGGGCUUGGCCCCUAGUGUCAUUGAAAAAAGAAGGGGGAGGAAACCAGGCAGGCAAGCGGUGGGCAGAGCAGAGGUCAGUGAGUGGUGGGAAGUUGGGGGUUGAGAAGAAAAGUUGGCAGACAUAAAUAUCCAUGCUCAUCAACUUCUUCUGUGGAGGUCUCUUUCCUUGGGUCUCAACUUGUGUGCUCUUUUUCCUUUCAAGUGCACUUUUGAGUGUCAUGUUUUUAAUUUUUUUUUGUGUGUAUAUAGUUGGAUAUAAAUAUAUAUGGUGGAUGUUUCCCUAGUUUGUUUGCCAAAAUAAAUUUAAAAAGGCAGCAUAUCCAUGCAGCAGCUUUAGAAAUAGGGUGAUGCUAUAUUUUUACUUCUUAAAUACUCAUUGUUAAUUUUUGUUUUUUUUAUUUUCUUCAAUUCAUCCAAUUCGAUGACCGGAAAUUAAAACGAGUGUAAAAAGUAAAAAAGAGUGUGGAUAGCACUACAUAAGAGAGAAUGCAUAUAGAAAUGAAGAAUGGUGAGUGAAGGUUCAAGGAAUAAAGGAGAAGAAUAUAGGAAAUAAAAACAAGAGAAAAUAUAAUAGACAUAGUUUUUUGUUUUUAUUUUGUGUAUUCUUCUAUAUCCACUUCAUUCCCACCACUUAUCCUCCACCUCUGGCCGUCCAUCGUUUCUCUCUUAUAUUUCCUCUUUAUUGUUAACAAAAUAGUAAAAACGAAAUAGUUUUCAGACAACUUUAUAUUCAAUUCCGGUAGACAUUGACCAACCAAUUUCUAAACAAAAACGAGGGGCUAUUUAACCACUCUGCUAUCCAUCCAUAAUGGUUUUCUUCUCUAAGGAAUAACGUUUCCGUUAAUAGUUUUUAGUUUUCAAUUUUUGUUCGCGAUAGAGAAACUACAUGGAGGAAAAGAGGGACGAAGAAGGGUGGAGGUACAAAUGAGGGAUAAACAAAGGACGAUGAUUAAAAUAGAAAUUCGAAAUUAUAACUUAAAAGUUUGUUUUAGUUCUUCCUUUUCAUUUUAUGUAGCAUUUCAUAGACAUCUUCGACCUCCCUCCCACCACUGUUACUCCACCGUUCUUCAUCCCUCAUUUCUCCUCUUUCUCGACAUCUCUGUCAAGUUUUCAUAGCUCUAGGGCAGUCGUAGUCUCCGAUUAGUGCCUACCACAGAAGUACAAAGCAAAUGACACAAAUCAUAUGGUGAAAUUCUAGGAACGAUUAUUCCUUUCGCCUUCUGGUAAACCAGCAUAUGCUUCUGCAUAUACACUAAGCUUUGAGCAAGGGUCGCCUUUGAGUAAAGAAACCUAAAGAGAGAAUGAAAACAGAAGAGAAGAAUGGAAUAAAAAUGGACGCGUCUUUAUUCAAUUCCCUUGGUUAUAAUCAGGAAUGUCUUACAUGCAUUAUCCGUAAUACAGAUUCAUAGCCGUAGACUACAAAUAACAAGCGUAAAAAUACACAGAGUUACACGAUAGACCAACAAUACGUUUCUCUAAUGCAAGGUUUUCUAUAAUUAAUAAACACAUUGCACAAAGAAACAGGAAAGCCUUUUGAAAGUUUACCUAGGCAUGCACAAAAGACGCUUCUGGAUAAUAGUGAAGCAUCUGAGCAGCUUCUGGAUGGUAGUGAAGCAUCUCGUUCCACAUCAUCUCCCUAAUCAUUGGUUCCUCCAUAUUCUCAUCUAUGUCGAGACUGAUGGGAACCUGGGCAAGAGGAUUGGAUCUCGGAUCGUAUAGCCCUGACAUGUAAGGGUGUUGGAGUGCUUCUGUGACGGAGAUUCUCUUAGUUGGAUCAAACACAAGCAUCCUUUGCAACAAGUCUAUAGCUAAAGGAUCAGCUUGAGGGUAUAAACGGGACAAAUGUGUCCCUCUAGAAUAGGGCAAUGAUUUGAUGUACUUCCUGGCUUUUGGGUUGUCAAUGAAUGCAAGGUCAGGUUCCUGCUGGCUACCAAGAACAUUGAUAAUUAGUUUUAGUUGGUUGAGGCAUUCAGUUCCAGGGAAGAUUGGCUUCCGGCCAAGAAUUUCAGCAAAGAUGCAUCCUACGGACCAGACGUCAAUGGAUGUUCCAUAAUUGUCACAGCACAAUAGCAGCUCCGGUGCACGAUACCAGCGAGUGACAACAUACUCUGUCAUGAACUGGCCACUACCUCCGCUGGUUCGAGCCAACCCAAAGUCACAUAUUUUCAAGUCGCAGUUAGCAUUGAUGAGCAGGUUCCCAGGCUUCAAGUCCCGGUGAAGGAUGUUUGCUGAAUGAAGAUACUUGAGCCCUCGAAGUAACUACAAUGCAGAAUCAGAUUAGUCACAAGCAGAAUAACUAUUAGAAGAAUAGAACUCACAAAUUAACUGAAGCUUGGUAACAAAUCAAACUUUUAGAAGCUUAAAUGCAUAGAAACCCCGGAGUGUUAAGUUCUACAUAAGAAAAUGCAAGAAGCUGAAACAUCUCCUCAUACUUGGUCAAAAUGUGCUUUGGUAACAUGCUUUCUAUUCAUUCAGUUCCUAAAUCUUUUCCAGAAUCGUUUACAUUUCCAUGAACUAAUUCAGCUCAAAAUUAGCAUCAACCAAUUAGGAUGACUACUUAAAGAAUUAAUGAGAUAAAAUAACACAAGUUAAGAGAAAGCCUGUACCUGAAACAGAAAGUAUUUGCAAUGGUCACUGGAAAGUGGUUGUGAGGACUUUAUAAUUUGAUGAAGAUCCGUAUCCAUGAGCUCAUAAACGAAAUACACGUCCUUGAAGCUUGUCCUGUGGAUAGGCAUCAUAACAUCCUUCAGAGCAAUCACAUUCUCGUGCCGGAUAUGUUUAAGAAGCUUCAACUCCCUCAGAGUCCUCAACGCAUCAAUGCGGUUCUCAAACACAUUAUUGAUCUUCUUGAUUGCAACUUUCUCAUUCGUUUCCCUAUUGAUUGACGAGCACACUACACCAUAUGCCCCUCUCCCUAUGGGUUUGAUUGGUACGUACUUGAUGUCAACCUCAAACAAUGUCUGCCACAUUGAGUAAUAAUGCUUCCCCCGUUGCCUAAUUCCGUUCGGAGGCUCAACUAAAGUUGCCAUUUUCCUGCAAACCACUGUAAAAUGAUCCAAAUCACUCAAAACCCCUCAUAACAUAAAACAUAAUUACUUCUUACAAUUCCCUGUUUAUGAUAAUAUUCUUGCUACUUUUUCCUACUUUUAAUUACAUACAAUUCACGUCUACUUUUGGCUUCCUUUUUUACUUUCAACUCCUAAUUUUUUCAUCUUUUUCUUUUACUUUUCAACCCAGCAAUUUUCCAAUCCCAUUCACACCACAAAUUCUCCAACUUCCACACACCCUAAAAAACUACCCAAGAAACCAAACUCAAAACUGAAACUGAGAAGCACACUUAUUCCCCGAGUUCGAACUCCCUCCCCCGAAUUUAAAUUAGUUUAAAGUAGAAUAUCGAUCACAUCAAAACACUAGCUGAGAAACCAAAGUUUUACUUUUUACCAACAUGAAGGCUCCCAAGUUCACUUUCCCAAUACCCAAUUCACGAAUUCAUAGCUAAAUUCUAAAACUUUAUACAAAAUUCAACAGCAAAAAAAAAAAAAAAAAAAAAAAAAAAAAAAAAACCCAGAAAAGAAAUAAGAACAAACCUCAAUAAUUGGCGAGCAACAUUAACAGGAGAAGAGAGAGAUCCUCAAAGGUCGUGGGGACAAGUAACUGGCUUGUAAAUAGAUCUUCCCUUAUCUAUAUAUAAAUACAUAUAUAUUUAUAUAAAUGGCUCAAAAGCUCACAGUGGUAUCAGAUCAUCACGAGUUACGAUUCGUUAUUUCGUCGUGAUCAGUGAGAGAGAUCUUAGAGAGAGGGAGGAGAGAGAGAGAGGGGGGGGGGGGGUUAAUGUUAAAUGCAAAUUAGUUUUGGGUUUUGGGGGGUUUGGGGAAUUGGGGGAGAGAGAGAGAGGAGAAGGAGCCAAACCCAUGACACCAACACGGCAAAAAUGGGUGGGUGUAUAUGUAUAAUAUCACAAAAACGACAGCUUAAAAGAUCAACGCUUUCUUUCGGUCCUCGUUUUUGUUGCUUCAUGCACAAUCAAUCAAACACUAAAAAAUCAUGCUCUCGAGUUUACGAUCACGCCGUCGGUUGACGGCUCCGGUUCAGCUCGGCUGGCUUAUCAGUUCAUCUCACACUUCACUCGUUUUUGUAAUGGUAAAUUACGUUUUACCCCCUUAGGUUUUGGGUUAAUUUCAAUCCCUUACGCAUCUUUAAAACAUUUCAAUUUCAUACAUUUACUUAUCAUUUUAUUUCAAUUUCCUACAUCCGUUAGAAAAUCUGUUAAGUAAACUGUUAACUGAUGACGUGGCAAAUAUGUAAUCCACAUUUAUGCUGACGUGGCAGCCAUAUUUGUGUCACGUGACAAAAAAUUAAUUUUUUUAUUCAUUUAAAAUAUAAUAAUAUUUUACCUAUUAAAUUAAAAUAAAUAUUAUUUUUUUACCACGUGGCACAAAUGUAACAGUCACGUCAGCACAAAUAUGGAUUCCAUAUUUGUCACGUCAUCAGUUAACGGUUUGCUUAACAGAUUUUCUAACAGAUGUAUGAAAUUGAAAUAAAAUGAUAAGUAAAUGUAUGAAAUUGAAAUGUUUUAAAGAUGUUGUAAAGAAUUGAAAUUGAUUCCAAACCUGUGGAGGUAAAGUAUAAUUUACCCUUUUUGUAAUUUGCAAAUGUACCUUUUUUCAACCCUAUUUAAUUGGAAAUUUAUACCAUGAACGGCACAAGAAUUCAUUGUACUUAUCUAUUUUUGCAUAUGGUAAAUGUUUUAUUUUUAUACUUUGAUUCAAUGAUAUUUUUAGAAUGAGGAUCCUCUCCAAAUCCUCUUUGUGAGGAUCCGAGGAGCAUCAAAUCGUGUUUAUUCAUCAUAUAUCGUACGGUCAGUUUUCGUCAAAUACUAUUCAUGUUUAAUUUUAAAUAAAAAUAUUUAAAAUGAUUUCUAGCCGCACGAUGUACGAUGAACGGAUACGAUUUGAGUAUCCGUUGAGGAUCCUCAUUCAUAUUUUUAUACUUGAGGGGUGGAUGACUUGAGUUAAGGAGCUACAAAAUACGCUAGUUGUAAUAAUUAGAUAUCAAACUCGUUAUUUGAUGAAGUUUAAUAUGAGAUUUUUCAUAGUAAGAAGAAAUGUAAUGAAAAAACUGUGUUCAAUUUGAAGGUAGAAGUUGUGUUACUCAUUGACGAAACUUACCACUAACAAAAUUGUUGUCCAAUUUGACAAGAUAAAGAAAUGCUAGUCAUCUCCGCCAUUCUUCUUCAAUUACGAACCCAUCUCAUCUCCUUUGACAUAUUUGGAAAUAAGGAUGUAUAUGCUCUUAGAUAAUGCUAAACAAUUGGUGGUUGAUGUUUUUAAGUAUUUCUAACGUGUAAUUUUAGGAGACCUAUUACUUCGUACUCAUCGGUACAUUUUAUAAUGCUAAGUUCCAUAAGUUUGGUCAUAUCUUAAAUUUUUUAUUUUACUAUUAUUAAUGGGAGUGGGAGAGUUCGAAAUUAUUAUAAAAAUUUAGAGGAAGACGGAGUUUCAAACCAGACUCAUGGAUAAAAAUCCAACACCCUAUUUACUAGCAUAUAGGACCACAUGUGACCGCCCCUCCUUGCUCUUAUAUGACUUUGCCACUGGGGUAACAUAUACUUAACUACAAUGGUAUUAUUAAGAGUUAUGCACCACAAAAGGAACAUUAACAUAAUACAUGAAUGCUUUGUGUAAUCUGACCUCUAAGGAAACAUAUUUAACCCAUUUGAUUUUAGAAAUCAAUGCUAAUAACGAUCGCAAGAAUUUUGUGAUAUUGAUCAUACCGUGCUCUUAUUAUCUUAUUGAUUCAUGAUUUACAUGUAAAUAAAAAAGAAUAUAAUGUAUUAAUAUUGUAAUAGUUGAUGUAUAAUUAUAUGUGUAGGGAAUAUUAAGGUAAAAAAUGCUACUCUUACCACAUAUUUGUAUUAUCAUUUGUAUCAUCUUUUUAAUGAAGAUAAAACUUACAUGUGUUGGCUGUCCCAACCUAUCAGAGAGAUGUUGUACAAAUAGAUAGUUACGUGUAAUGUUACUCUAUUAAACCCUUUUGCUUUUGGUGGACUUGGCUUAAGCCAAACCAAAUGGCUAUAAGCCUAAAACUAAAGGGAAGCAGUCCAACUUGAAGAAAUGGUAAAGAUUGUGAAGAGUGUUGUCUUUGCUUUCCCUACAAUUCAGUAAUCUCUCUCUCGUGCGAAUCUUUCAAAGAAACAUUCUCUAAACGCACACUUCCUCCGCCGCCCUCCCCCACCUCUCAAGCAACCGGCGCAGCCACGUGGAGAUGCGGUAGCUGCCAGGCCGGUUCCUUUGCUGAGUUUUGCUUAUCUUGCUUGGUGGGACCCGCAUGAGCAAACCCUAUUUUGUUAUCCAUCUAGAUCUAAUAAUCUAAAGAGAAGUAGCUCAACUCUCACUUGCUUCCCAACAAGCAAAUCACAAAGUCUUUGUCUACAUCAUGAUGUCAUAUCAUGCGUAAUGCACCCAAACAAACCCAGCUGGGUUUGUACCAAACAAUUAAUACUUACAUCAACAACUAUCGCCGACAAGAUUGGAACUCAGAACCGACUCCAGCAAAAUUAGAGACUGAAUGUCCGUUAAAAUUAGGUUAUCUACAACAUGAUCAGAUCAUGCAUGCAUCCAAAAUCCAGUUGGGUUUGUAUCAAUCCCUAAAUAGUUUUUCCAACAACUAUCGUCCUUCUAUGAGAUUUGAACGCAUGAUUCCUUUAACAAAAUAGAGACUGAGUGUCGCUAGACCAAUAUUUAUUGCCUAUCAGAAACUUAUAUUGAAAAAAUAAAGAUAUUUACAUAAAUUAUAAUAGUUAAAAGUGAUAAACUUGCAAACUAUGCACAUGGCCAAAACUUUGUGCAUUCAUAAUGUAAGUGGUAAGAGUUUGAUGGAACAGUAAGUAGAGUACAGGGGCGCAUUUGGGUGGGGGGUUUUGAUAGCCAAAACAUAUCUUCUUCUGUGUCUAACAUUCUUCACCAGAUAUUGAACUGCAUUACAACCCAAAACAUAUUAGAAAUGUCACAAACUCCACCUAAAAGUCGAAUAAGUGAUGUUUUCGUCUCGGUUGCUCACCAUUUUCUUCUUCAUGUUGUUCUUCCUCUUCUUCUUUUUGUCAAGAGAGCCAAAGAGUUCCUCUUGCUGGGUAAGCGACUCCUCGAGAGCCUAAACAAGAAGCCAAUUCAAAUGAAGAUCAUACACAUCUAACGUUAAUAGUACCCUGCUAGUGAUUGAUGCAAAUGACAGAUUUUUACUUUCCUAUUGGAUUAUGUUUCAUGAUUUAUAGCGGAACUUAUAGAAACCCUACCUGCUUUGUUGCCAUAAGCUCUUUCUCCAAGGCACCAACCCGGCCUAGAGCAGUAUUCAGCAUUUCCUCCUUCUGAGCUGGCACGGUGGCUGGUUUCAUGUUCAAAACAGUCAUUCUCUCUUCCAACUCAGCCAUGCGUUUCAUGACAGUCAUGAGAUCUGAGCCGGAGAUGGCAGCGUGUGAAGAGCCCUGGCCUUUGACCAUUGUGUCACCGUCGCAGACAGUGCUGGAGUAGAAGGUGGAGUCAGUGAGCCUCUUCGGCAUGCUACGUGUUAGUCUGACCAUGGCGACAAUGCCCAUAAGAAACGUCAGAAUAGCAGCCAUAAUCUGAGAGCCGAACCCUUCAGGAAGUUUGCAAGCAUUGUUCCUGGUGAAACAAUCUCCUGCUGCAAGUAAAGGAAACUCAGACCCUACGGAAUAUCUUAGAGCUAGAAAAGGAAAGGAAACACAAUAUACAAGGUCACCUAAAUUCUUAGAUGAUUUAGCGUUUGAGAGGGCAAAUUUAACAUUCCCCGUCGCCAUUGGCCAACUUGAAUCCACGGAUUUACCAACCAUCGAGGCACUGUCCUCGCGCCUGAAAGACGCUUCGCGAGUUUUGGCUAGCGAUACCUGCGAAAAUUAUUUCACAGAGGAAGUUAGAACUGUCGCGACAAGAGAGGAGGGAAACUUCAGCUACAAGAUACGCAGAUAACAAGUAUAUGUGUGUCUAUGCUUAGAAACAUAUACAUGAAAAAAGGAAAGCUCUCAGUGUACGAGACAAUUGCUCGGUUGAAAAUUAAAUUGAACUUGGAAGCUUUUUGCACCUAUGCUUAGAAACAUAUACAUGAAAAAAGGAAAGCUCUCAGUGUACGAGACAAUUGCUCGGUUGAAAAUUAAAUUGAACUUGGAAGCUUUUUGCACUUACUUCUUCAUGGAAGCGAGAAAGUGCAUGAUUAAGUUUAGGAGUGGAACGGCCGAUGUUUAGAGCUGCACCGAGUCCCUAGGAAGAUUAUAUGAUCAAGGUAUAGAUGACAUUUACGAACCAGAAGCACCAAAAUAUAUUUUCAAAAAUCAUGCGACUGAGAAUUUUGAGAUGAUCUAAUGUCCGAAAUGUGACAAUCCAAAAAACUUGUCAACUAGGGGCAGGUUUAUAAGGAAAAAGAAAAGCAGAAGAUAUGUUCAAGUAAGACCUACUUGAACUCCAGGUUUUCUUGAACAUUUAUGAAUGCCGUUUUGAACCAUCUGCAAGUACAUAAAUCGAUACUUAUGAAUUCUAAUUAAAUUAGAAGUUAAAAUAAUGCAUAGUAGUAAUGAUGCAUAAAGGGGGGAAAAAAAAAGAAGAAGAUACAGAACGGUCUUUAUCUACCUUCACGAUCUCAGGUUGUUUCCAGGGUCCCUUGUCCGAACGCAUACAGCCUCCUUGAUCAGAACAAGUACAUGUACCUCCUAAAAACUUGGGCAAUUCGCUGGAGCAAAGUCAAGCCAGAAUAUGUACAUCAAAAUAAACGAACUGAUGGAGCAGCUUAUAUGGUAGUGAAGAUCCUAAAAAGUCUGCCUCGUUUUGAACAGACUUACCUAGCAUCAAUUAUUUCAAGCAACUUGCUCUGAUACUUGUUGCCAAGGACCUGGAGGAUGAUAGUUUUCCCCGAUUAAUGUAGCCCUGACGAAAACAAGCACUUUUUAGCAUCAUAAUGUAUAUACUCACAUUAAUCUUUGCUGUAGUCUUCGGGUCAAGGAACGACUUCACGCUGUUCCACAACAUUCUAAAGCCAGAACCAGCGUUGAUGAUAAACAUGCGAUUCAAGGUCUGCGGUAAAAACAACAAUUUAUGUGGCAUCAUAAUUCUGCCAUCGACAAAAUAUGUUCUGAAGUUCCCGAAAUUUAUAGACCAAAAGAUGUUAAGGUACCUCAGGAUAAUUGUCACCGUCAAUCUUCUGAAGGCGAGUAAUAAGUUCCCUGGCAGCUUUGUUGAAAUUCUUAAAUCCCUGAGGCAUUACAGUACAACAACAACAACAACAACAAAGCCUUUUCCCACUAAGUGGGGUCGGCUAUAUGAAUCCUAGAACGCCAUUGCGCUCGGUUUUGUGUCAUGUCCUCCGUUAGAUCCAAGUACUCUAAGUCUUUUCUUAGAGUCUCUUCCAAAGUUUUCCUAGGUCUUCCUCUACCCCUUUGGCCCUGAACCUCUGUCCCGUAGUCACAUCUUCGAACCGGAGCGUCAGUCGGCCUUCUUUGCACAUGUCCAAAUCAUCGGAGCCGAUUUUCUCUCAUCUUUCCUACAAUUUCGGCUACUCCUACUUUACCUCGGAUAUCCUCAUUCCCAAUCUGAUCCUUUCUCGUGUGCCCACACAUCCCACGAAGCAUCCUCAUCUCUGCUACACCCAUUUUGUGUACGUGUUGAUGCUUCACCGCCCAACAUUCUGUGCCAUACAACAUCGCUGGCCUUAUUGCCGUCCUAUAAAAUUUUCCCUUGAGCUUCAGUGGCCUACGACGGUCACACAACACGCCGGAUGCACUCUUACACUUCAUCCAUCCAGCUCGUAUUCUAUGGUUGAGAUCUCCAUCUAAUUCUCCGUUCUCUUGCAAGAUAGAUCCUAGGUAGCGAAAACGGUCGCUUUUUGUGAUCUUCGCUAGAUUGCUCCGGUCAUUAGUGUGGAUAAGUAUAUAAAUGGAUAGAGAUAGGAAAGCAAACACAAGAUGUACGUGGUUCACCCAGAUUGGCUACGUCCACGGAAUAGAAGAGUUCUCAUUAAUUGUGAAGGGUUUACACAAGUACAUAGGUUCAAGCUCUCCUUUAGUGAGUACAAGUGAAUGAUGAUUUAGUACAAAUGACAUUAGGAAAUAUUGGGGGAGAAUGAUCUCGUAAUCACGAAACUUCUAAGUAUCGGAGUGUGGUGUCGUCUUGACUUGCCUUAUCUGUCUCAUAGGUAGAUGUGGCAUCUUCUCUGGAAGUACUACUCUCUUCCUCCAUCCAGGGGUGGUAUCUUUAACUGGUGGAGAUGCACAAGGUAAUGUAUCAAUUUCACUUGAAGCUUACUUGUAGUCUCAGGCUUGGUCAAGCGCGAUACAAACCAUGUAGUAGGAGUCCCCCAAGUCGCCGAGCUAGGGGGUCUGCUGAAAGAGGUGACAGACAAGGUAAGCAAUCAGAGCUCCGACUGAUUGUUCACCUUCUCCCCAUCUUGCAGCAGCAUGAAGGAUAAAGAGAAGAAAAAUGAGAAGAGAUGAUAUGAGAUACUUUUGCUUUUGAAGAAGUAACUUUCCACAGGCUUAUUCUUGAACUGAGCUGGAGGGUUUUCUGGUUUCCUCCAGAGUAUAAGGCCGACUGAAGAAUUUGAGGGUCAAAACAAGUCCAUCAAAUCUAGAGUACGUUCCACCCUGCUGAUAUGGGAUACUUUUGCUUUUGACAGAGUAAUGGGUGUAUCGGCACGUGUGCUGUUACGCUUGUCUCCACAUGCUUCCUUGUAUCCUUCGCACUUGCCCUAUCUGUUCCUCAAGCAGAUGCGGAAUCUUCCCUGGAAACAUAAGAUGUUGAAGAUGAGUACUCGAGAGCAAUGCCAGGUAAGUAAUCAGGUAAGGGGUUCCAGGCAGUCAGUUCCUGGCUGGAAGCUUGAUCCAAGUGCUGACUGAUUACUCUCUUUCUCCUUGUCUUGCAGGUAAAAACAAGGCCAAAGGAAAAGACAGGGAAAAAGCAUGAUAUGGGAUACUCUUGCUUUUAACCCUGAUGAUAUGAGAUAUUCUUGCUCUAGUAUAGCUUGUUUGCAGAGGUAUUAUCGGGGGGAAAGAAAGCUGAAUAUUUCGAAAGGCUUCGUUGGGAGUGCCCUCUCAGAUAUGAUGAAGGGUUGAGCAUUUUUGCAGGUCUGCCUGUCCGUUGGGGAUGAAGGUCGACAUAUAUAGGAGUCUCCCUAACAACAGGUAGUAAUGCUAUUCCUUUACCCUGCUUGGUCAUAGCACGGUAGUGGGAGCUGCCAGUUUCACAUGUUUUAACUCUGUCAGAGCACUUUGAAAAAGUGGUCUGUGGUAUCUGGCUCUCGAGAUUCGGAGAACGAUGCCUCUUCGAUUUUUGAGAAAGCAAUCAUGCUGGGGGUCUGGCUCUCGAGAUUCGUAGAGCAGUGUCUCUUCGAUUUUUGAGGAAGUAAUCAUGUUAGGAGUUUGGCUCUCGAGAUUCGGAGGGCGGUGCCUCUUCGAUUUUGGAGCAAGCAAUCCUGUUGGGAGUGUUGUCUCGAAUGUGAGUAAAGGUUGGGCAUGUUUGCUAGUCUACCUUGCCACGAAGCACAAAGGUUGACACACAGAGACUUUCCAAUUAUCCAGCAAUGGUACUGUUCCUUUACCCUCUCUUCGCUUUUGAGAAAGUAGUCAUGUUGGGAGUCUGGCUCUCGAGAUUCGGAGGACGGUGCCUCUUCGAUUUUGGAGCAAGCAAUCUUGUUGGGAGUGUUUUCUCGAAAGUGAGUAAAGGUUGGGCAUGUUUGCUAGUCUACCUUGCCACGAAGCACAGAGGUUGACACACAGGGACUUUCCAAUUAUCCAGCAGUGGUACUGUUCCUUUACCCUUGUGGGUAAUAAUAUGGUAGCUAGACCUUCAAAAAUUUAUGUGUCUAAACUUUGUUAGUGAUGUUUCUUUGCUAUUCUUUUACCUUUCUUGGUCAGAGCGAUGUAGUAGGAGCUGCAAGCUUCACGUGCUCAACUUUGGCAGAGAACUUUGGCAAAGUUAUCUGUGGUACCCAUGAGCUAUUGGAAGUGGGUGAUUGAACAGUAAGAUUCAUGUGCUUUCUACUUCACCAGAAGUCUUCGACAGAAUGCCCAUAAUUUCUGCAAAGCUGAGUGUGCGUGUGUGACAGGUGCUGACAAGGCUAGAAAAGUAGGUGCCUCUUCGAUUUCUGAGAUCGGCCCUCGUGGUCUCUGAGCAGCCCAGCUUUUGAGAAAGCGAGCGCCUCUUCGAUUGAUUCGGAGAACGAUGCCUCAUCGAUUUUUUGAGAAAGCAAUCAUGCUGGGGGUCUCUGGCUCUCGAAGAUUCGGGGAGCAGUGUCUCUUCGAUUUUUGAGAAAGUAAUCACGUUAGGAGUCUGGCUCUCGAGAUUCGGAGGGCGGUGGUGCCUCUUCGAUUUUGGAGCAAGCAAUCUUGUUGGGAGUGUUUUUCUCGAAUGUGAGUAAAGGUUGGGCAUGUUUGCUAGUCUACCUUGCCACGAAGCACAGAGGUUGACACACAGGGACUUUCCAAUUAUCCAGCAAUGGUACUGUUCCUUUACCCUCUCUUCGAUUUUUAAGAAAGUAGUCAUGUUGGGAGUCUGGCUCUCGAGAUUCGGAGGACGGUGCCUCUUCGAUUUUGGAGCAAGCAAUCUUAUUGGGAGUGUUUUUCUCGAAUGUGAGUAAAGGUUGGGCAUGUUUGCUAGUCUACCUUGCCACGAAGCCCAGAGGUUGACACACAGGGACUUUCCAAUUAUCCAGCAGUGGUACUGUUCCUUUACCCUUGUGGGUAAUAAUAUGGUAGCUAGACCUUCAAAAUUUAUGGGUCUAAACUUUGUUAGUGCUGUUUCUUUGCUAUUCUUUUACCCUUCUUGGUCAGAGCGAUGUAGUGGGAGCUGCAAGCUUCACGUGCUCAACUUUGGCAGAGAACUUUGGCAAAGUUAUCUGUGGUACCCAUGAGCUAUUGUUGCGUGUGGGAAGUGGGUGAUUGAACAGUAAGAUUCAUGUGUUUUCUACUUCCCCAGAAGUCUUCGACAGAAUGCCCAUAAUUUCUGCAAAGCUGAGUGUGCGUGUGACGGGUGCUGACAAGGCUGGAAAAGUAGGUGCCUCAUCGAUUUCUGAGAUCGGCCCUCGUGGUCUCUGGGGAGCCCAGCUUUUGAGAAAGCGAGCGCCUCUUCGAUUUCUGAGAUCGGCCUUCGUGGUCUUUGAGCAGCCCAACUUUUGAGAAAGCAAGCGCCUCUUCGAUUUCUGAGAUCAACCCUCGUGAUCUCUAAGCAGCCCAGCUUUUGAGAAAGCAAACGUCUCUUCGAUUUCUGAGCAGGCGCCUCUUCGAUUUCCGAAGCUCCGUCGAGUGCAGAUUUUUAUAGAGGCUGACAUUAAGUUCCAAAGCACACUUGAAUCUCCACCAGUAGAAGCUUCAUUCUUGCACUUCUAAGAUCUUGAUUUGUCCGACCUCUUCUCUCUUCAACACCUUUGAAAAUGUCUGGCCCCUCCGACCGUCGUUUUGACUUGAACCUUGUUGAAGAGGCAGCCCCGCCUUCUCCAGACAACAUAUGGCGCCCAUCCUUCGUCUUCCCUACUGGUCCUCUUACCGUUGGGGAUUCCGUGAUGAAGAAUGAUAUGACCGCUGCGGUGGUGGCCAGGAACCUUCUCACUCCCAAAGAUAACAGACUACUUUCCAAACGGUCUGAUGAGUUAGCUGUUAAGGAUUCGCUGGCUCUCAGUGUUCAGUGUGCAGGUUCUGUGUCUAAUAUGGCCCAACGCCUAUUUGCUCGAACCCGCCAAGUUGAAUCCUUGGCGGCUGAAGUGAUGAGUCUCAAACAGGAGAUUAGAGGGCUCAAGCAUGAGAAUAAACAGUUGCACCGGCUGGCACAUGACUAUGCUACAAACAUGAAGAGGAAGCUUGACCAGAUGAAGGAAACUGAUGGUCAAGUUUUACUUGAUCAUCAGAGAUUUGUGGGUUUGUUCCAAAGGCAUUUAUUGCCUUCGUCUUCUGGGGCUGUACCGCGUAAUGAAGCUCCGAAUGAUCAACCUCUGAUGCCUCCUCCUUCUAGGGUUCUGUCCAGUACUGAGGCUCCAAAUGAUCCCCCUCCGGUGCCUUCUCUUUCUGGGGCUCUACCGACUGCUGAGACUUCUCCUAAGCAACCCUUGUGAAGGCUCCGUCUUGUGUGUUUAUUUUGACUCAUGUAUAUGUACAUAUUUGUAGCUGAUCGGGGAUAUCAAUAAAUAAGCUUUCCUUCAUUUCAACGUAUUGUGUUAAAUACACCAAAGCCUUCUUCGCUAAGUUCUUUGAAUUUUCUUUUGUUGAAGCUUGUAUGUUGAAGCUUUCUGAGUGGAGCAUGUAGGUUGGGGUAGUGUUCCCUUAAUUUCCCGAGUGAGGAAAACUUCUCGAUUGGAGACUUGGAAAAUCCAAGUCACUGAGUGGGAUCGGCUAUAUGAAUCUUAGAACGCCAUUGUGCUCGAUCCUGUGUCAUGUCCUCUGUUAGAUCCAAGUACUCUAAGUCUUUUCUUAGAGUUUCUUCCAAAGUUUUCCUAGGUCUUCCUCUACCCCUUCGGCCCUGAACCUCUGUCCCAUAGUCGCAUCUUCUAAUCGGAGCGUCAGUAGGCCUUCUUUGCACAUGUCCAAACCACCGUAACCGAUUUUCUCUCAUCUUUCCUUCAAUUUCGGCUACUCCUACUUUACCCCGGAUAUCCUCAUUCCUAAUCUUAUCCUUUCUCGUGUGCCCACACAUCCAACGAAGCAUCCUCAUCUCCGCUACACCCAUUUUGUGUACGUGUUGAUGUUUCACCGCCCAACAUUCUGUGCCAUACAGCAUCGCCGGCCUUAUUGCCGUCCUAUAAAAUUUUCCCUUGAGCUUCAAUGGCAUACGGCGGUCACACAACACACCGGAUGCACUCUUCCACUUCAUCCAUCCCGCUUGUAUUCUAUGGUUGAGAUCUCCAUCUAAUUCUCCGUUCUUUUGCAAGAUAGAUCCUAGGUAACGAAAACGGUCGCUUUUUGGUAUUUCUUGAUCUCCGAUCCUCACCCCUAACUCGUUUUGGCCUCCAUUUGCACUGAACUUGCACUCCAUAUAUUCUGUCUUUGAUCGGCUUAGGCGAAGACCUUUAGAUUCCAACACUUCUCUCCAAAGGUUAAGCUUUGCAUUUACCCCUUCCUGAGUUUCAUCUAUCAACACUAUAUCGUCUGCGAAAAGCAUACACCAAGGAAAUAUCAUCUUGAAUAUGUCCUGUUAACUCAUCCAUUACCAACGCAAAAAGGUAAGGACUUAAGGAUGAGCCUUGAUGUAAUCCUACAGUUAUGGGGAAGCUUUCGGUUUGUCCUUCAUGAGUUCUUACGGCAGUCUUUGCUCCUUCAUACAUAUCCUUUAUAGCUUGGAUAUAUGCUACUCGUACUCCUUUCUUCUCUAAAAUCCUCCAAAGAAUGUCUCUUGGGACCCUAUCAUACGCUUUUUCCAAAUCUAUAAAGACCAUGUGUAAAUCCUUUUUCCCAUCUCUAUAUCUUUCCAUCAAUCUUCGUAAGAGAUAGAUUGCCUCCAUGGUUGAGCGCCCUGGCAUGAACCCGAAUUGGUUGUCCGAAACCCGUGUCUCUUGCCUCAAUCUAUGCUCAAUGACUCUCUCCCAGAGCUUCAUUGUAUGACUCAUUAGCUUAAUACCCCUAUAGUUCAUGCAAUUUUGUACGUCGCCCUUGUUUUUCCAUUGGCGAUUCUAGUUUUUUGUUUUUCAAAUCCUUUGCUGAGUAAAAGUAGAGGUUAUGGUUAUCACAUACCACUCCUUGCACAUCGAGGAUAGUUGUACUUUGAUCAAUGUUCUUCUUUGCUGCAAUUGAACAAGCUGGAAACUUAACCGCAAAUGUCCUUUCAAACUCCUGCACAUGGUACUUGAGAUAGCGGUCCAUAGUUGUGGCUUGCAUCAGCUUGGUCGCAUCUACUAGGCCUAUUCUCUCGAUUUACACAGGUCGUCCUUCCUUGUCUAUGCCAUGAUGUCCUUGGGGGUAGUAUUGCAAGACUUCAUCGAGUUCCUUGAAGUAAAAGUCCUAGAAGAAAAGAUAGAUACAUGAGUAACUAGAUUGAUGGACAAAUAUAAACAAAAGAAAUUCUGCUCUUACUAAAAGAAAACAAACAUAAAAAUCGAACGGAAAGAAGUAAAAUGAAAUAAUUAGCAAACUUCAAAAGCCUAAGCACCUAUUUCUACAGAGAAUACCUCCAUGAUUGUGUCAGCACCGAAUGCCUUCCUCCACUCGAGCAUGUCAGACCACAUUUUCUUGGUUUUGUCGACAUCAAAUUUCCUGGCCUUCAAGAAUCUGUCUUCCAAUGGUUAAGUUAGAUUGAAUAAGAAUGAAGUAUCUAUCUUAAAAACCAUCGAAGACAAAAACUUCUAGUGGAACAAGAAGAGGAAGAAACCUGAGCAUCUUAUGAUAAUCAUCGUGCUUGAAAGGAAGAAGCUCCUCCAAUAUAAGAGCCUGCCGCAGCGAGUCAACAGCCUGUAUCUCCUCUAAGUCAUGUACAUCCUCAAUGUCGAUAGACAAGACUUUACUACUGCUUGUUCUACCCCUUGUUGAAAAAGAAUUUCUGAACCUAACAGAGGCAUUCAUUGCCUUCUUCUUCAACGACCCGACUUUAGUCUUUCUAUCUUCCUCAGAGAUUUCAGCAUCAGAUACUGAAAAUUACACAACAUAAGAGAUUCAUACCUAUGCGCAUCAAACGCGAGGCAUCCUAAUAUGCAAAGAUUUAUAAGUCUACCUAUCAAUGCAUUAAAUUCCAAGGCUUUUUGUUCAUUCCAACAUCCUAAGGUCCCUUUAAAGUGGCAACGCGCAUUACAAAUUCAAGACAAGUCCUCACGUUUGAAGCAUACAGUUAUCAAGAUGUGAAAAUACGUUGAUUAUAAAUGAAAUAUCACCUGGUAGAGAUCCAGACAUGGUGUUACUUGUGAGGAAAACGGUGUUUACUUGUCCGAAAACAUUGCGAAAGUAGUAGCUGAAGGGCGGAAGAAGAAUCAAGCACUCGUAUCACAAUUCACAGAUGCAGACCCAGAAGCAAAACCCUGCCCAAAUGCCUGCAAUUACAGUCCCACUUGUAACCAAAUGCAGCUUAAAAAAAUAAAAAAUAAAAAUAAAUAAAAAUAAAAAUAAAAAAACCAAACCGAAGAGGAAAAUCGUCUAAAAUGAUCAGAAAUUAAACCCCAAUUGUAAAAUAAGAUAUCCACGACAUAGUGACCAAAUAAUAAUGACAUACUGAAAAACUGAUUAUUUUGCAAUUGGAAUUUGAAAAAAUGAUCGUUUUGGCAAUUUCCCAACUAGAAAAGCAAAUUACUUCCAAGUAAAUUUUAGCAGUAACAAAAAUGAGAAAACUUAAAGGGGAAUCCAAUUGAACAAAAUGCUUGCAUUUACAUUCCCACUCACAAAAUCACAACCACAAUGCAGCCUAAACUAAAAUUUGAAAAUACAACUAAGGAUAAAAUUAAAGGAGUUUUAACGAAACACUAUCGGUACUGUUCACUUACCAACACUUUUGUAUCAUUUUUAUUAAAACGCGAAGUUUUUAAAUCUUUUUUAUUAGUUUUUCCUUAAAAUUAAUUCGAAUAAAAUUGUGCAGUAAUAAAGACAGAAAGAGGCCGAGCCUUGACACAACGAAAAUAUUGUUUUUUUAUAACCGAAAGGUUACGAAUUCGAGUCGUGAAAACAACCUCUUUGCAAAGCAGACAGCCUUGUUGGCUUGAGUCGCCACUUUAGUAAAAAAGACAGAAAAACAAAAUGGAAUUAUUAUUGAUUUCAUUACGUCUAUCCUCUGGUGAACAGUGUUUGGGGGGCGGGGGUGGGGGGAGUCCCGAAAAAAAAAAAAACAAAAAUGGGGUUUUGGGGGGAGAGGGAAAAGGAUGGAUAUAAAUAUCCUGAAUCCUAGUUGGGAUUUGAGAGUUCUUAGAAAAUGGCGGAGAGACAGCGAGGCAGACAUGUUUGGAAGACACAUAGAAGAAAAUUAGUAAAUCUUGUUUUCUCUUUUUAAGGUUUCGAUUCAGUUCAGAGCUUGAUGUUUGACGAGGUCUCGACACAAGGCGAAACGCAAGGCAACUCCACUCAAAUUUAAAUAACGUCUCUUUGAUUCUCCCGGUAAAACUGUAUUGCCUUCAUUUCAUGUAUGGUUUUGUUUUCAUUUUUAUAAAAUCUCGAGAGAACAAUUUUAUUAACAAUAAUCAUGAAACAAUAUAGGGCAUGUAAUUUGAUCAUGGCUUACUAAUAUCGGGCUCGUUUAGAAAUGUUACUUUGAAAAACAUACUUAGAAGCACUUCCAUCGUAAUACAUUGAAAAAUUUAAUAAAAAUUCAAAAACAACCUGAAAUAUUUCUUGAAAGAAACAUCUGGCAAGUGUUUUUCUUAUAUAGCAUGACCGGAUGCUUUUCUAACCCAAAAGCAUUUUAACUUUUCCUCUUAAAUAUUAUGAAAAUCGGUUUUGGUUAUCUAAAAUCACUUCUAAAAGAUCGUUAUAUCAAUAAAAUCAGAGGCACCUUGAACCAACAAAAAACAAACCAAAAUAAAGAAUAGUAAUGCAACAAAAUAAGUGUUUCAACUAACUGGAUUAGAGAGAGAUAUACAUUGUGUAUUUGUUGUCUCUUUUCUUCACCUGCUGCCUUCUUUUAUUUUUGGGGAUAAGAAGUUAGAAACCAACAUCCUCCCAUUAUAUAGCGCUCCAGCAGACUCCUAUGAGUGUUCAUAUAGAACUGUAGAUUUCCAAAUCUACGUAUUUGGGAUUUGAUAGGAGAAAAAUCUUGAGAGUUGGAUUACGUAGUUAAUUGUUUGAUUUUACUAUGAAUAACGGAUCAUAGAUCUUAAGUUGUGAGAAUGUAUCUUGCUCGACGUUCACAUGCAUAACAAACUUUUAUUCUAACUAAAAAUAAAGGAUUAUAAAUCUUAGAUUGUUACUUGUUUACGAGAUAAUUUGUAAAUGUUGUCCUAUCACAGUUGUACUUUCUGUUUUUAUAGUUAACUUUUUUUGCAUUUUUCUUACUUUAUUAUAAAAUCCACAUCCUUUCUUUUAAAUCGUUUCAUGCAAAUGUACGUUUAUAUCAAAUCAUGUUAUAAAUAUGUCAAAGUUAGAGGGAUAACCUUUUUAGUGAAUAGAACGAAGCAGAUGUAAAAUGUCAUACUGAAAUUAUAGCACUAGGGAAUGACAAAUAAAAGAGGGAGGAAUAGAUGAUAUUAUUGAGCAUUCUUUCUUUCUUUAUGUAUAUUCUCUUUGUAUGUAUAUCGAUGGCAGUAAGAGUGCUCUAUUUAUAGAGCAACUCCAUAUGAAUAUCUUCUUACACUUUGAAAAUUUACAGCAUACCUUUUGAAAAGCAUGAUCUCCUGCAUCCAAAGUCAAUUUCUAUUUUUAUGGGCAUUGAAAACUUUUGCCAAAUUAAUGUGGGCAUUCACUACCCACCAGUAUUUUCAACAUUCCCCUUGGAUGCCCACAUAUCAACAUCAGUUGUCUCGUUAAAACCUUGAUAGGAAAAACCCAGUGGGAAAAAAACCAUAGCGAAGGAAAAAGAGUACAACUUUUCCUGGAUUGUUGACAUAGUGUUAAAUAUGCUUAUGUUGCCUCGUUAAAACCUUGAUAGGAAAAUCCCAGUGGGAAAAAUCCUAAUUGAAGGAAAAAGAGUACAACAUGCAUGUAUCAUGGAUGCUCCCCCUGAUAUGUAUCUCCCCCUGAUUCCGCAUUCUACAAAUUUAGUUGUUUGGUAAGUCGACGUAAUCCGAUACUUUACACUAACUUUUGAAACGUGCAUUUUGGUAGAGGCUUGGUGAACAAGUCUGCCAGAUUUUCAUUAGAACGGAUUUGUUUGACUUUAAUAACUUUAGCCUUCUGGAGCUCAUGUGCACUGAAAAACUUUAGAGAUAUGUGUUUAGUUUUAUCGCCCUUGAUGAAUCUUUCCUUCAUUUGGGCAACACAGGCUGCAUUAUCUUUAUGAAUGACAGUUGGAGUGUCUGUCUUUGAAGUUAAACCACAUGAAUUCCUGAUAUGAUGGAUCAUUGAUCUUAACCAAGAACAUUCAAGACUUGCUUUAUGUAAAGCAAGUAUUUCUGAAUUAUUUGAAGAUGUAGAACUAAUGUUUGCUUUGUUGAGCAUCAUGAGAUUGCUAUAUCUCCAUUCUUGAACACAUAUCCAGUUUGUGAGCGGGCUUUAUACGGAUAAGAGAGGAAACCAACAUCUACAUAUCCAACAAGGACCUGGUCAUUUGUGAAGUUCUUUGAGUAGAAGACCCAUGUCUGUUGUCCCACGAAGGUAUCGCAAUACAUCUUUAACACCUUUCCAAUGACGAAUUGUUGGAGCAGAGCUAUAGCUUGCUAACAAGUUGAUUGAAAAAGCUAUAUCAGGUCUAUUACAUUGUGCUAAAUACAACAAAACACCUACUGCACUUAGAUAUGGUACUUCUGGACCAUGGACCAUUUCAUCAUCUUCUUUUGAACGGAAUGGAUCUUUCUUAAUGUCCAGAGAACGAACGACCAUUGGCGUGCUAAGUGGAUAAGCUUUGUCCAUGCCAAAUAGCUUCAGGAUUUUUUCAAUAUAAGCUGAUUGGUGGACCAAAAUUCCACUAGCACAGAGCUCGAUCUGCAGGCCGAGACAAAAUUUUGUUUUUCCAAUGUCUUUCAUUUCAAAUUCGCUUUCCAGAUAUUCAGUAGUUUUAUGGAACUCUUUAGGGGUUCUAACUAGGUUCAUAUCAUCAACAUAUACUGCCACUAUAGCAAAUCCAGAGUUGGAUUUCUUAAUGAACACACAAGGGCAAAUGACAUUGUUGAUAUACCCUUCUUUGAUCAAAUACUCACUGAGACGAUUAUACCACAUUCGUCUAGAUUGUUUUAGCCCAUACAAUGAUCGCCUUAAUUUGAUCGAGAGCAUACCUCGUGGUUUGUUACUUGUUUCAGGCAACUUAAGUCCUUUUGGGACUUUCAUAUAUAUGUUAGUAUCUAAUUCUCCAUAUAGAUACGCAGUGAUGACAUCUAUAAGUCGCAUGUCAAGUUUUCUGAAACCACUAAACUUAUUAAGUAACGGAACGUAAUUGCGUUUAUUACAGGAGAGUAGGUCUCCUCAUAAUCAAUUCCAGGUCUUUGCGAAAAACCUUAAGCAACGAGUCGUGCUUUAUAUCUUGCAAUAUCAUUUUUCUCAUUGCGUUUCCUUAUGAAUACCCAUUUGUAACCCACGGGAUUUACAUCAGGCGGGGUUUGGACUACUGGUCCAAAAACAUUUCGCCUUUUCAAGGAAUUUAAUUCUACCUGAAUUGCAUCUUUCCACUUAGGCCAAUCUUGUCUCUGUUUACAUUCAUCAACAGAGCGGGGCUCAAUAUCAUCACUUAAUAUGAUUUCAGUGGCUACUGCGAAUGCAAACAUAUCGUCUAUAAUUAUUUCAUUCUGAUCCCACAAUUCAUUAGUGCAUGUAUAAUUUAUGGAGAUUUCUUUGCUUUCAUGUACUUUUGUCUCUUCAGGAACAUGUGUCUCAUCAACGACAUUUUCUUCUUCUGGAAGUCCAGAAUCAUGAAUUGUGGAUUUGUCAUUCAUUCUCUCUUCCCCGAAUGAUUUCAUUUGGAUUCAGCUGUGUCCUUAUCUUUCUCUUUCGAAGGGGUAAAUCUUUUGAACCUGGGGGUCUACCACGCUUCAGGCAUGCACCAUAUGAAUCAUACGCUGCCACUUUAUUUUGUCCAAUAAGGACAUCAAUUCUUGCAAGUGCAUUUGCAACUGGUAUAUGUGAUUUUUUCACUUUCAUAGCAUCAUUAAAUGUAUCUGGCAUUUGAUUGGCAAUGAUUUGAAGAUGGACGAUCCUUUUUACUUCAUUUUCACAUUGAAUGCUUCGAUGAUAAAAAUGAGACAAUGUGGGAACAACCCAUGUCAGCUCUUUCCAUUCUUCUGGAACGGUCUUUUCUUCCCUUAACGACGGGAAGACUGUCUCAUCAAAGUGACAAUCAGCAAAACGAGCUGUAAACAUAUUACCAGUUAAGGGUUCCAAAUAUCUAAUGAUAGAUAGUGAAUCAAAACCCACAUAAAUUCCCAGUCUACGCUGAGGUCCCAUUUUAGUGCGUUGCGGGGGUGUAAUAGGCACAUAAACAGUACAACCAAAAACUCGUAAGUGUGAAAUGUUUGGUUGAUAUCCAAACACGAGUUAUAUUGAGGAGUAUUGGUGGUUGGCUAUAGGUCUCAAUCGAACCAAUGAUGCAGCAUGUAGGAUGGCAUGUCCCCAUGCAGAAACUGGCAAUGUGGUUUUCAUAAGCAGAGUGCGAGCUAUUAACUGAAGCAGCUUGAUCAAUGCUUCUGCCAAACCAUUUUGAGUAUAGACAUGAGGAACAGGGUGUUCAACAUCAAUGCCCAAUGUCAUGCAAUAAUCAUCAAAAGUUUGAGACGUAAAUUCACCAGCGUUAUCAAGUCGGAUUGACUUAAUGGGAUAAUCUGGGAACUGUGCUCGUAACUUAGUUAUCUGAGCAAGAAGUCUCGCAAGAGCUACAUUACGAGUAGACAAGAGACAAACAUGUGACCAUCUAGUAGAUGCAUCAACCAAAACCAUAAAAUAUCGAAAUGGUCCACAAGAUGGUUGAAUAGGUCCACAAAUAUCUCUCUGAAUUCUUUGUAGAAAUGAUGGGGAUUCAGCAUCAACUUUUAGUUGUGAUGGUCUGAUUACUAACUUCCCUUGAGAACAAGCUUUGCAAGGGUUAUCAUUUGUGAUAGCAUGUCUUUGCUCAAUAAUGGAUGUCCAUUAGAGUUGGUAAUGAUCCUACGCAUCAUGAUGGAUCCUUGAUGACCCAGACGGUCAUGCCAAAACAUGUAAACUUUUGAAUCAAUGAACUUCUGGUUCAUGACAGUAUGUGAUUCAACUGUCUUUAUGUAUGUAUAAUACAAUCCACUCGACAAACCAUGCAACUUCUCCAAUAUACGCUUUUGGGUAUCAUUGGAGGUAAUGCAUAUAUACUCUACAUUUUUUGCACUUUUUGUUUCAAUGUGGUAUCCAUUUAAACCUAUGUCUUUGAAACUCAACAAGUUUCGAGUAUAUCGAGUAGCAUACAAUGCAUUAUGUAUGGACAAUAUUGUUCCAUUUGGUAACAUAAUCUGGGCUUUCCCUGAGCCUUCAAUUACAUCUGAUUUGCCUGAUAUUGUUGUUACCCUUAUUCUUGUAAGCAUCAAGCUUAAGAAAUACUUUCGAUCACGAAGUAUUGUAUGUAUAGUUGUGCAGUUUGUAAGACAAAUGUUUCCGCCAUUUCUCAUGUUUUGAGAAUGACCAUAGUUUUUAUCCAUGCUUUCUGAGUAAAGAAAUCAGAGUUAAAAGCAAGUUAUAACAAGAAUUUACAUGCCACUUUUAUUGAAUCUGAAAUGCCAGUUUUAAACUACAAGUUCAGCAUAAUAAAAGUAUAUCAAACAUAAAAGAUUUAGUCGGACCGGUAUACUUCAUUCCCCAUUUCCACAAUGAAGUCUGAAACAUCUAGGUGGGUUGUGUUCAAUUGUCUUGAUAAGUCACACACUUGAUCAGGUAAAUCCAUUGGUUUAGCCUGGUCGAGAAAAUUGGUCUCGACACCCUUCUCUUUGAAGAAGGCUUGAUACAGAUCCACCAGAUGUUUUGGGGUACGACAAGUACGCGCCCAAUGCCCAUUGCCACCAUACCUAUGGCAGGCUCUUUCAGAGUUCCUCGGAGCAUUGUUCAUGUGAACUUUGCCUUUGUGGCGAUUCGCAUUUUAAAGCUCGAGCCUGAAUUAUGCCUUAGAACCUGGUUGUGAAACUGACCACCAUGGUUCUUGCCUUUCCUGUUCCACCGACCUCCCUUGUGGCCACGUCCUCGUUUAUGAUUAUCGCCACCAGAGGCUGUGGUGUUCACUUCGAGGGAAGCAGCAUUCACUUCUGGGAAUGGUGCAGAUCCAGUAGGUCAGGAAUUAUGGUUUUUUAUAAGGAGCUCAUUGUUCUGUUCAGAUACCAGGAGCACAGAUAUCAGCUGGUUGUAUUCAGUGAAACCUCGUGCUCUAUACUACUGCUUCAGGAGCACGUUAGAGACAUGAAAUGUGCUGAAAGUCUUUUCCAGCAAAUUUUCCUCAGUAAUAGUAUCCCCACAGAGCUUCAGCUGAAAGGUAAUUCUGAACAACAUAGAAUUGUACUCUGCCACUGACUUGAAAUCCUGGAUCCUUAGGUAAGUCCAUUCAUAGUGAGCUUUUGGAAAAAUCACCGUUGUCUGGUGAUUGUAUCUGCUUCUCAAUGCAUUCCAAAGAGUUAACGGAUCUUCAACCGUUAAGUACUCACUUUUUAGUGCCUUAUCAAGAUGACGACGAAUAAAAAUCAUAGCCUUCGCCUGCUCUUGAAAGGAUGAGCUGCUCUCUUCCCUGAUGGUAUCUCCAAGAUUCCCUGCUUCCAGAUGGAUCUUGGUAUCCAGUACUCAGUUAAGGUAAUUCUUCCCGGUAAUGUCCAGGGUAGCAUAAUCAAGCUUCGCCAAUGUCGCCAUUUUCUUUUCUGAAAGAAAAUGAGAUGUGUAAGAACUUGCAAUAAUAUGUAUUCCUGGAGGAAUAUAGUGUUAGAACUUCUGGUUCUUACAAAUUUUUCAUUUUUAUCUUUAGGCCAAAAUGAUAAGCACUCGAAACUUCUGGCUCGAAAUUUUUAGGGUGAAUGAGGAGGGCGGUUGUACCACACCAUUCUCAUUGAAAUGAUGUAAUAUAGAAUGGACGAUUAUUCCGCACCACUCAAGUAGCAGGAAAAUUUAAAUACGCAUAACAAUGUGGGUGAUUAUACCGCACCACCUAAAAUUGUAAUGAAAUUAAACUGCAGGCAAAUUAAAUAUGUAGGGUAGGGCAGGCGAUUAUACCGCUCCACCUAAAAUUUGCAGUAAAAUUAAAUCUGCAGUCUAAGAUAGACGAUGACAUCGCACCAUCUUGGAUCGUAGUAGAUUAAAUUUGCAGUUCAAGAUGGCUGAUUGUAGAGCACCAUCUUGGAUUGCAGUAAAAUCAACAUAAAUAAAUACUAGAUUAGUAAUCAAGAUCUACACCAAACAAGAAAUCAAAGAUGUAUGUAACCGUUAGGUUGAGAACUAGAAGCAGGCAUGGAGCAAACAAUUCGUCGCAAGGGUAUACUGAGCAGUUGAGGCAGAGGAAGAAGAUGAACAGUAAAAACCUUAGAGGAAACUUUUUUUUUUCUUUCGUUCGGCGAAGAGAAAUGAUUUGCAUUCGGCGAAGAGGAAUGAGAAAUAUUUAUAUUUUAGAGACUCGUGCUAAUAACGUGUUACAAAUAUGUUAAAGUUAGAGGGAUAACCUUUUUAGUGAAUGAAACGAAGCAGGUGUAAAAUGUCACACUGAAAUUAUAGCUCUAGGGGAUGAUAAAUAAAAGAGGGAGGAAUAGAUGCUAUUAUUGAGCUUUCUUUCUUUCUUUCUGUAUAUUCUCUCUGUAUGUACAUCGAUGACAGUAAGAGUGCUCUAUUUAUAGAGCAACUCCAUAUGAAUAUCUUCUUACACUUUGAAAAUUUACAGCAUACCUUUUGAAAAGUAUGAUCUCCUGCAUCUAAAGUCAAUUUCCAUUUUUAUGGACAUUGAAAACUCCUGCCAAAGUAAUGUGGGCAUUCCCUACCCACCAGUAUUUUCAACAAAUCAGAUUUUUUUUUCUGAACUUUCUUUAAAAACCAGGAUUUGGGUUGAUUAUUUCCUGCUCUGUACAAAAUAUUUGGAUACCGAAUUUCCUAAUUCAGCUCUUUUUCGUUGUCGCCCUAGGCACACGAAAUCUCAGAACCGGCUUACAUUUACCAUUUAUCAAGGAGAAGAUCUUGCAUGUAAACAGAGUAUAUAUCAAGUAAAGUUUAUCUCAAACUGAGGGUUUAGCAAUAAAAUCGUAUUUCCAUGCAAUUGGUUUACUAUGCUAGCGUAGUUUGUUCACGACAAACUAACGUGUGGUACACAAUUUAAGAAAGAGGAUUAGAUACAGUGACUGACUUAACAUAAAUAACAAAAUGAAUGCCUGGAAGAAAAUAUUUCCACUGCAAAUGUGUUCCACAAAAAGAGAAAACAAAACCGAUCCCAAUCAUAUGGUAACAUAAAUCAGAUUUCACAACAAGUGUACAAGCGUACAACGCAUUUGAAAACUCAUGAUCCGGUUUCAGUCCGAAUCCGAAUCAAGAUUCACAGACGAUCUCACUAUCCUACGACCGCCUUCAAGAUAUCCAUCAUCUUCAUCAUCGCCUUCUUUCUUCUCACUAAUUAUACCUGUUAAAUUGGCAGUUUAGAGACUCCGCAACAGGAUGUGAAUUGGAAAACACGCUUGACAAAGCCAUUACCUUUCUUGAUUAGUGCAACCUCGAGCGCCCUUGUGCUGAAAUCAUCUUUCGUUCCCACUUCUUGAAAUCCAACCAACCUAUCCACAGCAACUCCUUUUCUGCAAACGCCAAGCCUUUGAAUCCGUAAAUAAUUUCAAUGAAGAACCAAGUGUAUGAUGAAAUUAGCAUGACGGAUUUCACAUGCUCUUGUGGCAAAUUCAAAUAAUUGCGGUAUUACUAUAUUUCCAGCUUUCGUUGUUCAAUUGCCUUUUCAUACAACAGCGAAAUGGUGCAUGCUGGUAUGCCUCUUUAAUGCUCGAAAUGAACAUGGAUACAGAAUUACAAUAAUUAAUACAGAGAUUGCCUGACCUGAAGAGUAUGACACAAGGCAAAGUUUUGAUUCCCAGCUUGGUGACGAAGAACGGCGCAUUCUGCAGUUCAUCAUCAAAUACUCAAUUCCCAAUUCUAAACCCUUUAAAAAGUAAACGACUAAAAAACGGAAGGUUGCAAUCAAGAAAGCUCAAUCCGAGUAAACACGAAAAGUUGCAUCAACUAUAACAACACAAAAUGGGGGAAUGAAGUUCACACUGUUGAGAAAAAAUUAGAGCACACAACUC
rnacentral:lncRNA from 1 species